rnacentral:lncRNA from 1 species
CCUUCUGAUCUCUAAUCGACUCCUUCUACUUAACUAGGAUAGGAUCUUGAUUUUGUUUCUCCUUAACCUUGGAAACCAAGGAAGAUUCUGCACUACUCUAAACCGAAACACAGCCCUCAGCUGAAUCAACUAAAUGAACACCCAAUCUAUCCAAUUGAUGAACUUCCCAAACUAACUCCUUCUUAUAACUCUUAAUAUGAGUAACACUACCCAUAGACAUCCUACUAAGGGCGUCUUCCACAACAUUGGCCUUUCCCGAAUGAUACAAAAUACUCAUGUCAUAAUGUUUCAACAAUUCUAACCACCUUCUCUGAUGGAGAUUCAACUCUCUUUGAAUAAACACAUACUAUAAUUUUUUUGUGGUCCGUAAGAACAUCAACAUGUACCCCAUAAAAAUAGUGCCUUCAUAUUUUCAAAGCAAACACAACAGUAGCUAAUUUAAGAUCAAAAGCAGGAUAGUUAUUUUUGUGAGGCUUAAGUUAUCUAGAGGCAUAAGCUAUGACCUUACCUCUCUGCAUCAAAACACAAGCCAAACCAACUCUAGAGGCAUCACAAUACACAACAAACCCAUCUGUACUAUCAGGUAAUUAUAAGGCUAGUGCUGAAGUGAGUCGAGUCUUCAACUUCUGAAAACCCUUUUCACAAGAAUCAAACCACCGAAACUUAAAUUUCUUCUAAGUCAAUCUAGUCAUAGGAGAUGUAAUGGAUGAUAACCCCUCAACAAACCGUCUAUAAUAGCCAGCUAAACCCAAGAAACUUUUGAUGUCUGAUGGAGAAAUGGGUCAAGGCCAGUUUCUUGCUACCUCUGUGUUUUGGGGAUCAAAUCUAAUGCAAUCAUCAAAAAUAAUAUAAAUGAGAAAAGUUGUUGACCUUAGCCAAAAUUCACACUUGUUGAACUUGGCAAAAAACUAGUGAUUUCUAAGAGUUUGCAACAUGAUUCAAAGAUAGUCUGCAUGAUCAUCCUCACUGUGGGAAUAAACAAGGAUAUCAUUGAUAAAUAAUAUGACAAACAUAUCUAGGUACUAUUUGAAUAAUCGAUUCAUCAGAUCCAUGAGGGCUGCUGGGGCAUUCGUUAUCCAAAAAGACAUGACUAGGAAUUCCAAAUGACCAUAACAAGUUCUGAAAGCUAUCUUUGGGAUAUCACAUUCCCUUACUCUAAGUUGGUGAUAGCUGAAUCUAAGGUCUAUCUUGGAGAAAUAACUUGCACCUUGGAGUUGAUUAAAUAAAUCAUUGAUUCUAUGGAGAGGAUAUCUAUUUUUAAUUAUGACUUUAUUCAGCUAAUGAUAGUGAAUGCACAUCCACAAAGAACCAUCUUUCUUACACAUGAAUAGGAUGGGAGCACCCUAUGGAGAAAGACUUGGUCUUAUGAAACCUUUGUAUAAGAGAUCUUUGAGUUUCUCUUUUAACUCUUUGAGAUCGGCAGGAGCCAUAUGAUAUGGAGAAAUAGAGAUGGGUUGAGAAUCAGGAAGAAGAUCAAUUUCAAAUUCUAUCUCCCUAUCGGGAGGUACCCCUGGCAAAUCUUCAGGAAACUCAUUGACUAUACGAGCUGACUGAACUAUUGGAGACUCAAACUUAGCAUCUUUGACUCGAACUAGGUGAUGGAUGCACCCUUUUGAUAUCAACUUUCUAGCAUUAAUAUAAGAUAUAAAAUGAAUCUUGGGAUUAUUGAAUUGCCUUCCCACUCAAAGACUAACUCAUCAGGAAUCUGAAACUUCACCACUCGGGUGCGACAAUCUAUGGAUGCAUAACAGGAAUGGAGCCAAUCCAUACCAAGAAUAAGGUCAAAGUCAACCAUGUCAAAUUCUAUAAAAUUUGCUAACAUAACCCUAUGAAGGAUAGUAUGGGACAUUUUCUAUAGAUCUGUUUGGCAAUAACUAACUCACCUACUAGAGUAGAAACCAAGAAGGGCUCAGGAAUCUUUUUAGGAACUAUUUCAAAAUUUACCACAACUAGCGGGGUCUAAUAAGAGAAACUCAACCCAGGGUGUAAUAGAACAUAAAUAUUAAGAUGAAAGACACAAAGCAUAUCCGUAACAACAUCUAGUGAACUCUCCUAAUCCUGGCAAAAUGCUAAAGCAUAGAACCAAUUUCGGCGCUAACCGCCAUCGGUACUAGAUGAUGCAUCCUGAGUAGGGGUUGGGUGCCCUACUGAAGCUGGUGCAGUAGUAACCUGAGUCUGGGGACAAAUAUCCCUACUUCCUUGCUUAGCAUAUGGACACUCCUUGAUACCCUGGCCCAAAUGACCUCAUCGAAAACAAGACCCAACAUGCAUUCACUGGGAUAAUUCUUACCACAUCUUGCACAUAAAGGGUAACUAGGCUUCCACCUAUACUAUCCUAAGAUCUGGACAUCGAAGUCCUACCCCACUAUUCCUACUUGGUUCUAGGUGUGGAGGUACUAGCUGAAGAUAGAGCUGGCAAAGGCAGACGACUCUAAAACUGCAAAUAAUUUCCCUCUAUGAACCUUGACUAACCAUACUCAAACUGCCCAUUUCUAGCCUUCUUAUUUCAUCUUUCUCUUCUCUUUAACUUUUUUGCCUCUAUCUGUUUAGCAUAAUUCAUCAAUCUAGCAAGAUCCAUAUCCCCAAUAAGCAUGGUUGUCCUACACUUCUUAACUACCUAUACAGAUACUACAGUAACAAACUUACUUAUACUAGAUCUAGUAUCAGCUACCAACUUAGGAGCAUACUUAGAUAACUAGUUGAACUUAAGUUAGUACUUUUUUACUGUCAUUGAGCCCUACCUCAGGUUCAUGAAUUCUUCACUCCUUGAUUUCCGCAACUUGCAUGGAAAGAAUCUGUCUAGAAAAGCAUUGUGAAACCUGCCAACUCAUUAGAGAUACAUUCUUACCCCUACCUUUCUUUCACAUAACUACCCAAUCAUAAGAAACAUCCUUCAACCUAUAAGAAGCCAAUUCUACACUUUUAUUUUUAGUAACAUGCACAACUUGGGUGAUUUUCUUUACCUCAUCAAGAUACAACUAUGGGUCCUCACUUACUUUUGACCCAAAGAAUUCAGGCAGAUUCAUUCUCAUGAAGUCAUAAAGUUUGGUAGUAGAUAAAUAACUCUCUUACUAAUGUGGAACUGUAGCCUGAUUAUUGGCCUGAACAUUAGCAGUCAUAGCUUGGGCUAAUGCCUAAAAGGUAUCCCAAAAUUUGGCAUGAUACACAUUCUCUUCCAAAAGAUCAACAGGCUGGGGAGGCUAGUUAUCAUUCCUACGAACAUUACCUAUACGAGGAGACAAGUUCUGUCAUGAAAGAACAUAAUUUAAUAGAAGAUAAAGAUAGCUAUAAGCAUGAUGGACUAUGAAAGAAAUAGAUGAUUUCCUAAAAUUGUUGUAGCCUCUUGCUCAUAAAUAUGGUGCGCUUCACACCCAUGAUCAAGACUCUAAGUAAUGCGGCUUGUCUGACUCCCUAGGAUCUCUAAACCUUAGGCUCUGAUACCAAGUUUGUAAUACCUCAAAACCUGGUCCCAGGAUGUCACACGGUGCUCAAGACUACGAGUAGUCUCAAGCUAACUAUGUAAGCCUUCUACUAGUUCUGGAACUCAUAUUAAGGUAAACUAAUCAAGCAUCAAUAUUUAUUUAUAUCAAAAAUUAUUGAGUAUACUAUCUGAACAAUAAAUACUAAAAGUAUGAAUCAAAGCUAGCAGUCUGACAAGCCUCUACUACUAAUAACUAGAGAGUCAUUGGGACAGGUCCUCAACUGACUCGAACUAAGCUGAAAAUGACUAAUCAAGUACUAUGAAAACUAAAAAUUUGGAUAAAUGGGCCCUCAAACCAUAGGGACUCACCAACUUUUGGGAUGUAGAUCAAGAUACCUGAAAUCACGCACGCUGCUAAGACUGAGCAGCUAAACCUACAUUAUGAGACAAUGUAUCACAUAUAUGUAUAUGUGGAUCAGUAUUUGAGGAUGUACUGAGUCUAUGGGGGUGAAUGAAUAAUUAAAAGUAAUAUCUCAAUGUUAUCAAAAUUAAUAGAAUAUGCAUGCUUUAUGUAAUGACUCGCAUGGCUGGAAUAACUAAAAACUAAAAAUCAUAGAUCAUGAACGAUAAAACAUACUGUAUAAAACUUGUAAGACACUACACUUCAAGUCUAAAACUAAAAUCUUAUUCGACAUUCUUUUCUCUUAGACUGUAGGAAGUUCUAGUAAAAUCUUUUAUAUUAAGGACUUUACUAUAAGGAAAAUGCUUCUAAAAACCAUUCUGAAGAUCUUUAUGGUUAGUGAGGUUCUUCUAACCGAGAUAAACCAUGUGAGACAUCAUGGAGUCCAGCUUCUUGUUCCUCUAAAGGUAAAAUCUCACAUUGGGGAGAGGUUUCAUACUCUUUCCAUGGAGUAUAACCUGAGCUAAGUGAUCACAUCCAUAACUGUCAUCUAUAUAGAAAUAGGAAUACUAAAUUUGUACCUACAUAUGCUCGUAUUUCUAGGAAAGUUGGAUGUGCUAAACCCACACUUCUGCUCGGUGCUAAAUACUACUUACUUUAAUUUGUAUGCUCAUUUUGUAGGAAAUCCACUUUUAAAAGUCAUAAUAUUUCAUGCUGAAAGCUAAUUGUGCAUCUAUUCAUUCAAAACUGACUUUAAGCUGUAAAGAGGAUUUCAUGUCUUAGUUAAAGAUUAAACGAUCAAAUCUCUAUUCAAAGUUGUCUAUAAACAUAACAUGGGAUGCUUAAAAGAAUAAUCAUUCUUGAAAUAGCAAUAUUCAACUAGGUCUUGACAACCCAUGCAUCAAUUUCAUGUUGAAUCAUCAUAAAGUUUAUGCUUGAUAAUGAAAAUAUUCAUAAUUCAACUCAAAAUCAGGAAAAUAUAGUCCCACACAUGAAUUUACUAAAGUAAACAUGUAAUUCAACAUCUAAAACACUUGAAAUCUGAAAAUCUUCAAAUAAUAAUAAUAAAUGGGUAUGAACCCUAAAUUGAAAUUAAUGUAAAAUCAUGCAAAUUUGAAAUCAAAAACUAGCUUUGGGUACAAGGAUGAAAUAUUUGUCCUUGUUCAAAACCCCAUAUACCCUAAUUGAUGAACUAGAUGAAGAAGCUUGAACUUGAAUUCCUAUUUAUACUUUUGAAGAUGAUUUCUUGAAUGCUUUGAAUUGGGGAUCUUGUAUCUUGGGUUUAUUUGGAAAAAGAAUGGUGUAAUCUAUGGCUUUCUUGGGAAUUAAGUUUUGAGGUUCUACGGUUUUCUUAAGAGAGAAUUGAUGAAAAUAUGAAUAAAUUGAUUAGAAUAGGUUUAAUUCCUUGUUUUUCAUGAAUUUGAGGCUGGGGAAAUGACCAAACUAUCCUUUUAAAAUUAACUUUGGAAAACUAGAAGCCAAUUUUGGCACAUGGCAUGAUGCGGUGGUAAUCGCGGUGCCAUUCUUGAAAAAUAACGGAUGUGAUUUUACCCUUUGACGCAACGUGGGCUUAUCAUGAUGGCUCACUGGAAAGGAUGAAUCUCAUUUGGUCUAUCAUCGCGAUGCGGGGCUAUUGCAGUGAGUUACGAGAAAUUGGAAAAUAGGAACUGAGACUUCACCGCGAUUCAAGCCAAUCACGGUCAUCAUUGGAAUUAGACAAUGGUUUUUUUGCAUGUCAUCGCAACGCGGUACUACUCAUUUUGAGAAACUGUCUUCCCUAAAAGUGCAAUAACUUCUCAACCGAGUAUCAGAUUAAGGAAAAAUAGGUAUCAUUGGAAGGAUAGUUAAAUAUUCUACAACUUGGUGGGUCUAUAAAUGGAAAAUUCCAUAUGAAUCAAGAGUUAUUAAUUUUUGAAGUUGACCCUUGACACACUAGGGGUUAUGUUGAGCUAGGAAAAGUAUGGGGUAUUAAAUUUUUUCAUCUAUGAUUGCCCCGCUGAUAAUGUUAUCUCAUUAAAAGGUUAAGCUCUUAUAGUUUGAUACUUGUGAGGGUAGUUUUGAGAAGUUGAAGGAUAAGUUGACUUUUGCGCUAAUUUUUACCCUAUCUGAGGGUGUUGAUGGGUUUGUGGUGUAUAGUGAUGCAUCCCAUGUAAAACUGGGUUGUGUUUUGCUGCAGCAUGGUAAGGUUGUGGCCCAUGCUUCCAAGAAUAUUAAGGUUCAUGAGAGAAAUCAUCAAAUUUAGGAUCUAGAGUUAGAGGCUAUGGUUUUUUCUUUAAAGAUCUGGCACCAUUACCUGUAUAGGGUACAUGUUGAUAUUUAUUUAGACCAUAAAAUCUUGUAGUAUAUAUUCAUGCAAAAGGAGUUGAACUCAGGAAGAGACAGUGACUCAAGCUACUUAAGAAUUAUAACAUGAGCCUUUACUACCAUCCAAGUAAAGCUAAUGUUGUUGCUGACGCUCUUAGCAAGUUGUCUAUAGGAAUAUUAUCUCAUAUUAAGGAGAAAAGAUGGUUGGUGAAGGCUAUUCAUAGGUUGGCUAACUUUGGAGUUCAUCUCUUCAACUCUGGGUAUGAAUGAGUGAUUAUUCAGGAAGUUGUUAAAUCAUCUCUUGGUGUUGAGGUGAAGGAAAAGAAAUAUUUGGAUCCCAUACUUAUGUAAAUUAAGAAUGAUGUAGGUCAUCAAAAGGUUAUGGAUUUUGAAAUUGAAGGAGAUAGAAUCUUAAGGUAUCAAGAAAGAUUAUCUAUUCCUGAUGUAGAUGGGAUACAUAAAAGGAUUUUGACCAAAGCUCAUGAUUCCAGAGAUACAGUUCAUCCAAGUUUGACAAAAAUGUAUCAUGACUUAAAGGAGAUCUACUGGUGGAAUAAUAUGAAGAGGGAUAUGGCAAAUUUUUUUCUUAAGUAUAUGGUUUGUCAUCAAGUUAAGGUGAGUAUUUAAGGCCUGAUGGCAUGUUGCAAGAGAUAUAAUUGCCCAUGUAAAAGUGGGAGAUGAUUAAUAUGGAUUUUGUUAAGGGUCUCCCACGGUCUCAGAAUUAGUAUGAUUCUAUUUAGGUCAUUGUGGAUAGAAUUACUAAAUCUGCACACUUCUUGCCUUUGAGGACUAACUACUUAGGAGAGUAUUAUGCUAAGUUAUUCAUUCAAGAGAUAGUUUAGUUGCAUAGAGCACCAGUGUCUAUCAUUUUAGACCGAGGUACACAAUUUUCUUCUCACUUCUGGCAUUUGUUUCAGAAAAGUUUGGGUACUCAGGUUAACCUUAGCACCACUUUCCACCCUCAAACAUAUGAAAAAGUAGAGAAUACUAUUCAAACUUUAGAGGAUAUUCUAAGGGAAUGUGUAAUUAAUUUUAAAUGUAUUUAUUAUGAUCAAUUAUCUCUUAUUGAGUUUUCUUACAACAAUAGUUAUUAUUCAAGCAUCCAGAUGGCUCCUUUUGAGGCUCUUUAUGGUAGAAGGUGUAGGUAUCCUAUUAGAUGGUUUGAUGUUGGUGAUACUAUAUUAUUUGUUCAUGACUUGGUUCAUAAAGCCAUGGAAAAGGUAAAGGUGCUUAGAUAUAGGCUUAAGACUACUCAAAGUCACCAAAAGUCAUAUAUAUAUAUGAGAUAGAGGGAGUUGGAGUUUGAAGUAAGUGCUUGGAUGUUCUUAAGGGUCUCUCCUACGAAGGGAGUCAUGAGAUUCGGGAAUAAAGGGAAUAUUAGUCCCUGUUACACUGGUCCAUAUCAGGUUGAAAGAAAAUUGGGAAUGUUGCUUAUGAGUUAGACUUGCCAAUAAGCUUGGCUUCGAAUCAUCCUGUGUUCCAUAUGUCUAUGCUAAAGAAGUAUGUGGUUGAUCCUUCUUUGAUAGUUUCUACUGAGAAUGUUAGUGUCACUAAUUCAUUGUCUUAUGAGAAGGUCCCGGUGGAGAUACUGGACAGGUAAGUUCGUAGAUUGAGAACUAAGGAUGUAGCUUCGUUUAAGGUACUUUGGAGAAAUCAAAAGAUAGACGACGCUACAUGGGUAUCUAAAAAUAAUAUAGAAGCUAAAUACCCAUUCUUGUUUCCAACAGAGAAUGGAAGUGCUUAGGUAUGAGUUUUGUUUUCUUCUUAUCGCAUUUUGAAUUUGUUCUUGGAUUUUGUUUACACUUUAUCUCUUAUCAUUCUAAAGGUACCCUAACUUCUCAUUCGGUGAUGAAUAAUCAAAAGGGAAGGGGUAAAUGUAACUCCUUGAAUUUUGGAACUUUAGACCCUCCAAGAGAUGAAUAAUUGAAUUAGUUAAGUAAAAGAAAAUGAUGUCAAACUGCCAGUAGAAACAAUUCUGACAAAGACAUACUGCCAGAUGUCAUAAGUUGUUAGGAGGGACUUAUUACCCGGACAAUUAGGAAACCCAGUAUUUGAUCCCUUAACAAUGAGUCCAGGAUAUGACUCGUUAUGAGACACAAUGAGUCGUUAUGAGGAACCAGCUGCCAUAAUAGUAAAGGAUCAAAUUUUUUAUCCUCAGGUAACAACUCUAAGUCAUGACUCAUGGUUAGACGUCAUGUGUCAUUACCCAAGCCAUGACGACUGUUUCUAUACUUUUCCUACAUAUUUUAAUUAUGGUAAUUUUGAUCUUUUCCUCUAUUCAAACUCUUAUUCCAUGACUAAAACCAUCCAAAGGACCUCGUUCCAUCAGUUAUCAAAACAAACCCUCACUUUUUUCUCUUUAACUCCCAAGGUAAAAAAUAUUAGGGUUUUAUAAGGAAAUUCAACAUUCGGGCUUUAAACUUUGAAUUGUGUCCAAUUUCUUCUAUACUUCAGGCAUGUUGCUCAUCCCAAACUUGUAUUUUUACAUUGUGGCACUGAUUUAAUCACUAUUCAUGUGUUUUGAAUGAUGCAUUUUGAACUUUGGUUGAGGAUCUUUGGUGGUUAACACUUGAAUUGCUUAUCCCUGGUUCUAAUUGGAUACUCAUUCUUAAAUUGGUGGAUUUUAGAAUUGAAUGCAGGAAUUUACACAAUGUUUACAAAUUGGUUAUUUGGGUUUUAUAACAUGGAUGAAUUUUGUAUGGUAAUGGCAUUAACCUUAACCCACCUUGUAAACUUGAUCUUGAAUUUUGAUAAUUACAUGAUUUAACUUGUUUUUUGAAAACAAUGCAUUACAUUAAAGGAUAAGUGGAUAAAAAUGGUUUUUGAAGGCCCUUGGUGGCAAUGGUUUGGAUUUUAAAUGAAACUUGGGAGUCUAAUGGUUAUAUGAAUUUGGUUUGGCAUAAUUAUAUAAGCUUGCAAGCAUAUUGGUAUUAUGAUACCAAGUUGCUAAAUGCCUUAAUAAAUAACUUAUUAGUAAAUGGUUGGGUUUAUGAGUAAACCACCUUAAUUUGGGCUUAAAAGGGAAUUAUGUAGCUCACCGUGAAGGCGUAGUCCCAGAGAAACUAACACUAGAAAUCAUGUUUGCCGAUGUUGUGGUCUAUAUGGUAAUUUGCAUAGUGCACACUUUAUAUUUGGAGGGCUAUCACCUUGGUGUCUUUAGCCUUUCCUUGAUUUCCUCGGUACGUGUGGCUAACAAGUACUAUGGCCCUUCCAACAGGGAAAGUUGGACCCAUAUAAACUAUAGGUUAUUUUAAGAUAGAGCGUGCUACACAGUUCAUGAUAAUAUUUUAAACUCUCAUGUUCAUGGACCUUGUCCCUAUAUCGGCAUCCUAUAUAUGUAUGUAUAAACGUUGUGUAUGUUGUUUUGACUGAUUUUUUACAAUGACAUUAUUUUAUCACUUUUCCCUAAGUUACAUGCUAAUGUUUACCCCACUGACAUCCUUAUACGUAGCAUCAUUUCAUAAUGUAAAUCCGAGGACUUCUCUAUUACUCCUGUGUAGUGUUAGGUGGUGUGGUACGUUGGUUGAGUUGUUAUGAAGUGGUGAUCCUCCAUCUUUCAAUAAUCCCUUCUAUUUCAUUAGGUUUCUUUUAAAAUUUUUGAAAUUGUGAAUUCUAUUUUAUCAUGGUCGGGGGAAUGUCCUGACCUAGUUUGUUAUUUAUGGUUUUAGGGGAUUUUGUGGACCGUAUUGGGAUGAUUGGUUGUUUUGUUUGGACGCUCAGAUUUUAUUUGAUACAUCUUUCUUAUUUACUAUUUUUGUUGGCUUCUAUUGUUUGCUAUAUAGGGCUCUGGAGGUUAGGCUAAGGGGGUGGUCCCUGACCCACGGUGGGCUUGAGAUACCCAUCACGACUAUGCCCUAGUUUGAGUCGUGACACAGACUUAGUAUUUGUACAUAACCCUUAGUUAGUUUUACUUGCUUUUAAACUAUGACUUUCCAGAUCAUUAUUGUAUAGUAGUAUUUGUGUAUUUUAAAUAGGAUCAUUGUACUUUAGUUUAACUACUUUAUUCAGUAUGGUUUUACAGCAUGUUCAGCACCAGCAUUAAAUCAUAUGAACUAUUUACGCUCCUACAACUUUCUAGUUUUUUCAAUUAAUUUAGAUCAUGAUUCAUAGAUUUCACUAUGCCUCACAACUUUUAUGUAUAGACAUGUUUUAAAUGUAUAUUUCAGCAAAUGUGUUAUGUCAUCGGUUUUAAAGCAUGUUAAGAGUUAUCAUGACUAGUGCAUAUCUCACAUACCCAGUAUAUUUCAAAGUACUAAUAGCAUGCCUCUUUUGCCUACAUUUUUCAUGUGAUUUAGAUUAAGAUGGUUACUAUCAGGAUUAUAUUUAGGCAGAUCACAGCAUCCAACUAGGAGGUAAUGAGUUCUCUUUCAUUAAGGACUCAAGUAAGUUCUAGAUCCAUUAUUUUUAGUUUUUCGUUCUUAUAUAUUAAAUAGGGAUAGCUCGGGGGGUCAUGUCCCAGUUACCUAUAGCCAGUGUUAAUAGAGGAUUCAUAGUUAGUUAGUUAGAGUUGUCCUCAUCAGUUUCUCUUUCUUUUUAGAAUAUAGUUAGUCUAACUUAACUUCCAACUAGUAAAUAUAUUGAACUAGUUUAUCCCAUGAUUAUGUUUGCACUCAGCCAGUUUAGCUUCUAUAUAUGUUUUAAUAAGUUACUCAAGAAUUAUUCUAGUAUGAUGGGUUAUCUUGGGAUUACUUGUGGUUCUAAGCACCAUGUUACGACUAGGGGAUAGUCUCGAAUCGUGACCAUAACAUUGAAGAAUGGAAUAGAACAUUAUACACUUCCAGCUUUAAAACAAUAGUGUAUUUUUUCACUGUAACUUUUCUUUCUCUUUUGAUUAAACUUGGGGGAGAGGGGGAAUAGAAUAGCUAGCUUUGGAAGGGGUGGUAGAGGUUUUGACACGUCCACAAGUUCUUCCUCAAUUAUAGAAUUUUACUUUUCUUGUACUUCUUAUGAGAUUAAUUUUUUCAGCAACUAUAGGCCCGUAGGCAAUUUAGGUAUUCUCGAGAAAUAACAUCGUGCUUCUAGUAGUAAUUGUAUUACAAUGCUACAAAGACCAUUAUCACUAUUUUUUUGGAUAAAUGUAUUGCUUGGAAUGUGCCUUUUUAAGGAAAAUUUUAUUCUCUUGAGAUGUUUUUCAAUUGCAAUUUGAGCUUUUGUAUGGAGGUAGUGUGGGAGCUUACUAUUUAAUAUUAAUUACAAAUUGCAACAUCUAUAAUUUAUUGAUUUUAAAAGAUCUUUUCAAGCACACUGUAACACCCCGAUUUCCUAAACCGGAACGCUACACGGUGCUCAUGACCCCAAAGGACCACAAGCUAACCCAUGACAGAUAUAUGUACCUGUAUACUGUAUAAAAUACUGAAUAAUACUAAAACAUGAACUGAAAGGCCAUAAGGUUCACAUAACUAAAGAAAAAUAUAACAUCUAAAUGGGGUAUGAAAGACAAAAAAAAACUAAAAAUACUGAAGUCUGAAACAUGUUAGUCUAAAAAGCCUCUAACUAACUGAACUGUCUAAUUAAGGAUUUGAUGGGACAUAUCCCCAACUAGCUCCAACUAAUAAACUAGUUAAUGAGAUAAUAGGGAGUAAUCUUGUCCACAAAUUAUGAGGACUCAUUUCUAACUCUGACUGCUGAAACUAGAAUCUACUGCUAAUCUGGAGCUCGUGUCUCUGAACCUAUGGUAUAAGACACCAUAGCGCAAAUGCGUUAGUACUUUGAAUGUACUGGUAUGCAUGUGAGGUAGGCUAAAUGCAUGGGGUUCAUAUGUAUGAACAAUAAUUAUAACUGACUAACUAUCAUGGGUGUGGGAAUAUAUGUAAGGGCUAUAAUAACUGACAGUAAUACUAUGAUCAUAUGAUUACUGAAUCUGAAUAUAACUGAUAACAUGAGUGACUGUAUCUGACAGUCCUGAAUUUGAUGGAACUAUCUGAGUUUCGUACUGUGUUUGAGUUGACUGUAUCUGACAGCCCUGAAUUCUAAAGAACUAUCUGAGUUCUUUUACUGAGACUGAUACUGAGACUGUGGGAGGUAGUCAUCUAACUGACAUACCCCAAAUAAUGCAUUAUAGCCGAAUUAGGGUCCAAUCUAUGCCCUGCUUGGAAGGGUGUCAAUAAUGCACCACUGGUAAGGACGAUAUGUGAGUGACCCUGAUAUAACGGUAACUCUAGUGAGAAUGGUGGGAACCCUCAUAUAGCAGGCUAAGCCACCUCAUCUACCCUCAUAUAUCCGGAAAUGAUGUCUCAACCUAUGUUGGCUAUAUAGUUCUGGAACGCAAGGAUUACUUCUAAGAAUCACACCCUCACAUAACAGGUGAGUUCCCAUCCUUGUGUUCACUCGGUGCUAAUUUCUACACCCGUCAGAAUAGAAACUGAUCAUAAUUUACUAAACUAAACAUGGAAUGAGUUACUAAGUUCUAUUGACUGAUGGAAUACUAUGCAUAUCUGAACACUGACUGACUCAUGAGAUCAUGGAGAUUUUUCCUGAUUCAUAAGACUAUAUGAAGUCUAAGGAUUCAUAGCUUGACUAAGAGUAUCAUGAAAAUAUGACAUGGCUCUAGGUACACAGCUAAUGUUUCGGGUACAAGUACCCCUAGGACUCGAUGGAAGGAAACUGACCAAGCAUAACUUACUUUAACAUAUAAAUAACAUCAUAAUCCAUAAUACAUUUAUAGAAGCAUUCCAUCAAAACAUAUGAUAGGCAUAACUUGUACAUCCAUGGGGAUUUCAUAAUAUCAUACUAGUUGGCAUUGUUCCUUCAUCUAGGCAUUUAAUCUAACACAUGGUAGGCAUAGCACAUGUAGAAAACAUUAUACAACAAUUAAUCAUCAUGAUUCAUCUCUAAUGUAAUCAUCUAGGGUUUAUUCAUAGGUUCACAUGAAUAUACAUCUAUACAAAUCAAUUCCACAUAAAUUUGAUCACCCAACAUUGAUUUGAAUUCAACUGAUCAUUCUCAAAAUAAACAAAAUAAACCCAACAUGAAAUUCAUAAAGAAAUCCAUAAGCUUAAACUUAGAAAAGAGAUUCUUGGGCUACAUGGACGAAAGGAGUCCAUGAAUGAAAACUACGCAUACCUUGGUUCAUGAUUUUGUGAAGAUUAUUGGUGAAACCUUCUUGAAUUUGAAUCCCCAAUAGAAACCCUAGCUUGUUCUUGAGAGAAAAUAGUCUAUUUUGGGUGAAAAAUGACUAAAUCACGUAUUAUUGGGUUUAAAUAGGGAUAGGGAAUUGACUCUUUUAACCCUAGAUGCGUCAUUUAAUUUCAGUAAAAAUUUUCCAAAUUGGGGCCCUGGCGCGAUGCGAUGUUAUCGCACCUUGUCACUGGAAAUUAACAAUUGGUAAAUUAAGGGAUAGCACGACAUGGAGUCAUCGCGUUGCCCCUUCUUUUGUGACCUGGAACUUUGGCACAACAUGGAGGAAAUCGCGCUAAGCUACUGGAAAAGGACAAUUUUGAAUUUGGGACCUGGCACGACGCGCCAUAAUCUCCGACCCACAAUGGAAUUUGCCAAAUGCCAUUUCCUCUUGUGGCACAGCGUGCCACUAACUAAUAUGGCAUUGUUUUAGGAUGGGAACUUAAAAUGGUCUUAACUUCUAACUCGGUUAUCGAAUUUCAGUGAAUCUUAUAUCGAUGGAAAGCUUAUUGAAUUUUCCACAUGACAAAAAGUAAAAAUCUUGAAAAUUCCUUAUGGAAUAAUUAUCCUUCACUUUAUAAGCUAAUACUAGACAUUCUUGAGAUGAAAUUAUCUAGGAAAAAGUACUGGGUAUUACAAUAUCUCCUGCUUGAGAAUAUUCGUCCUCGAAUGAGACUGACUGAGAGGGAAGAAAAGACAACUGAUAUACAUACUGAACAUGAAUAACUGGAACAUGAUCUCAUGACUGACACGAAUGACAAUCUAAACGUAUAAUACUGAACAUGCAUAUCUGAUGCAUGUGUAACCGAUUCAUGAAUGCAUGACUGAAUGUUUUGAGGAACUAAGUUUCUCAUAAUGAGAAUGCAUUUUUGAUACAUAAUUAUAUAACUGAGUUUAUACAUGAAUGCAUGACUGAAUAUGCAAUGGUACUUAAUACCAAGUUUAUACUAGGAACAUGAACAUGAAACUGAAUACUAAGUUUCAAAUGAACACUAAUCAUGAAACUGAGUAAGCUUAAGAAGAACUGUUACCUUGAGCUUGAUCUGAGUUGGCGGAGAAAAGGUGAGGAUACUUGGUACGCAUGUUUGCUUCUGCUCCCAAGUAGCUUUCUCGAUGGACUGAUUUUGCCAAAGAACUUUAACUAGACAGACUUCUUUGUUCCUCAAUCUACUAGUCUAAUAGUCUAAGAUUUCGACUGGAAUCUCUUCAUAAGAGAGACUGUUCUGAGCAUCAAUGCCAUGAAUAAGGACUAUAAAUGAUGGGUCAGGUAUGAACUUCUUGAGCAAAGAGACAUGAAAUAUUGGAUGAACUAAGGCUAGAUCUGAAGGCAAUUCAAGCUCAUAAGCUACCUUGCCGAAACGAUUGAGAAUCUUGAAGGGACCAACAUAUCGGGGACUGAGUUUCCCUUUCUUGUUGAACUGUUUCACUCCCUUUAUGGGAGAGAUAUUUACAUAUACAUAGUUACCAAUCUCAAACUUGAGAUCUUUUCAACGAACAUCUGUAUAAGACUUUUGUCAGCUCUGAGCAACUUAGAGUCUUUCUCUGAUCAACUGUACUUUUUCUAAGGCGUCGAAUACUAAGUAAGGCCCUAUGACUGAGGCCUCACUAACUUCGAACCAACCAAUUUGAGAUCUAUAUCUCUUACCAUAGAGAUCUUCAAAUAUAUCCAUCCGAAUACUGGAAUGAUAGCUGUUAUUUUAUGCAAAUUCAAUCAAAGGGAAGGGGUUAUCCCAACUUCCCUUGAAAUCAAUUGAACACGCUCUUAGCAUAUAUUCUAAUGUCUAAAUAAUCCUUUCUUCUUGACCAUUUAUCUGAGGAUGAAAGUUUGUACUAAGAUGAACUUGUGUACCAAGACCCUUUUGGAAUACUUUCAAAAAGUGAGAGGUGAACUGGGUACCUCUGUCUGAGAUAAUAGACAAUGGAAUACCGUGCAAUCUCACCAGCUCCUUGAUGUAGAGCUUGGCAUAAUCCUCAACUGAAUAAGAGGCAUGAACUAGAAGGAAAUAAUCUGAUUUGGUCAUUCUAUCUACAAUGACCCAAAUAAAUCGUGCAGAUGACGAGUUCGGGUCAAAACCAUGAACCCACUUCCAAGUAGGAAUACUGAACUCCAUCAUGGACCCACUAGGCUUCAAAUGCUCUAUCUUAACUUGUAUACAUUUAGAGCACUUAGUAAUAAACUCUGCAAUAUCUCUCUUCAUCCCACUCCACCAAUAUAUCUCCCGCAAGUUUUGGUACAUCUUUGUAGCCCCUGGAUGAAUCGAGUAACACGCACCAUGCACUUCUGAAAGAAUUCAUUGCCUUAAUUCAUCUACACUUGGAACACCGAGAUGACCCUGACAAUGAAGGACACCAUCUUCCCCUUAAAAGAAAACCUCUACUUUUUAAUCCUGAACUGACUUUUUCAACUUGACAUGGCUGGGAUCUCUAUCUUGCUUUUAUUUCACCUCAAAAACUAAAGAUGAUUCUAAACUACUCUGCAUAUAUCACCAUUAUUUAUAUCGACUAAGAGAACGCCUAGUCUAUCAAGAUAAUGUAUUUCCUGAGCUAACUUCUUCUUACUAUCCUCAACAUGAGAAACANNNNNNNNNNNNNNNNNNNNNNNNNNNGGCCACUACGUUGUCCUUGCUCGGAUGACAGAGGACACUCAUGUCAUAGUCUUUCAAGAGCUCAAACCACUUUCUCUGACGAAUAUUGAGAUCUUUUUGACAAAAUACAUACUGAAGACUCUUGUGAUCUAUGAAGACAUCUACAUAAACUCCGUAGAGAUAAUGUCUCCAAAUCUUCAAGGCAAAGACUACGGCUGCUAACUCAAGAUCAUAAGUAGGAUAAUUCCUCUCAUGGGGUUUAAGCUAUCUAUAAGUGUAGGCUAUGAACUUACUAUGCUGCAUGAGGACACAACCCAAACCUACUCUAGAUGCAUCACAAUACACCACGAACCCAUCUGAACCAUUUGGAAGAGCUAAGACUGGGGCUGAGGUAAGUCGAGUCUUCAAGUCCUGAAAACUCUUCUCACAAGGGUCUGACAACUGAAACUUGACUUUCUUCAGAGUCAAUCUGGACAUAGGGGAUGCAAUAGAUAAAAAUCCUUUAACAAACCAUCUAUAUUAGCCGCCAAACCCAAGAAACUCCUGAUAUCUAAUGGAGAGACAGGUCUUGGCUAGUUGGUUACUACUUUGAUCUUAAAGGAUAAACUCUAAUGCCAUCAUCGGAAAUAAUAUGACCAAGGAAUAAUAUUGACCUCAGCCAAAAUUUGCACUUACUAAAUUUGGCGAAUAGCUGAUGAUCUCUGAGAGUCUCAAGUACUGUCCUGAGAUGGUCUGUAUAAUCAUGCUUACUGUGGGAAUAGACCAGAAUAUCAUCUAUGAAGACUAUGACAAACAUGUCCAAGUACUGCUUGAACACACGGUUCAUCAAGUCUAUUAAAGCUGCUGGGGUGUUGGUAAGACCAAAUAACAUGACUAGAAAUUUAAAGUGACCAUAGCGAGUUUGAAAAGUUGUUUUCGGAAUGUCACAUUCCCUAACUCUAAGUUAAUGAUAGCCACAUCUGAGAUCUAUCUUAGAGAAAUAACUGGCACCCUAAAGUUGGUCAAACAAGUCAUCGAUUCUAGGAAGAGGAUACUUGUUCUUGAUCAUACCAUUAUUGAGUUGGCGAUAUUCUAUACACAUUCUGAGAAAACCUUCUUUAUUGCGCAUGAAUUAUACUGGAACAUGCCACAGGGAAACUAUUGUCCUGAUAAAUCCUUUAUCUAAGAGAUCUUUUAAUUGUUCUUUUAGUUCUCUGAGUUCUUCUAGUGCCAUUCUCUUUAGCAGAAUAGAGAUAGGCUGAGUAUUUAGAAGAAUAUCAAUGCCGAAGUCUAUUUCCUUUUCAGGAGGAAUUCUAAGAAGAUCUUUGAGAAAGACAUCUGAAUAUUCAUUCACUACUGGGACUGAUUCAAUGCUGGGAGUUUCAAAGCUAGUGUCCUUAAAUAGAAUGAGAUGAUAGACACAUUCUUUAGAUAUCAUUUUCCUUACCCGAAGGUAGGAAAUAAGCUGACCCCUGAAAGCGGAUACACUACCCUUCCACUCAAGGGCGGGUUCACUUGGGAACUAAAAAUAGACUAUUUUAUUUCUGUAGUCGACUGUGGCAUAGCAGGAAUAAAGCCAAUUUAUGUCGAGGCUGACAUCAAAAUCAGUCAUCUCUAAUUCGACUAAAUCUGUUGAGGUAACUUUUUGAAAUAUCAUAACUGGGCAGUUCCUGUAUACCUGUCGGGCUAUGAUGGUUUUGCCCACUAGGGUAGAGACUGAGAAGGGCUCUGCUAGAAUUUCAGAACUGAUUCUGAAAUCAACUGCUAUAUAGCGAGUAAUAAAAGACAAAGAAGCUCCUGGAUCUAGCAAAUCGUAAACAUACACAUGAAAGAUCUGUAACAUACCAGUAACUAUAGUAGGAGAAUUUUCCUGAUCUUUUUUAGACUGAUGAACAUAGAAAUGAUUUGGACGUUGCCCACUAGUAGAACCGGAGAUGGAACCCUACUGAUUUGGGCGAUCGGACUGAGCUGAGGAGCAAUUCUGUUGACCCUGAGGACCUGGAUGAGGAAAGUAUCUGACUCUGUGGCCUAGCUUGCCACAUCCAAAAAAAAUACCACUAUUAGCUCUGCAAAUACCCUGAUAGUGCUUGCCACAAGUUAGGCAAAGAGGAUAGGUACAGGCACUUCUAACACUGCCCUGGGUCUUAGAGCCUGACGAUCUAUCUUUGUUACCCUCUUUGAACUUAGAAACUGCAACACUGGCUGAAGAAGGAGCUGGAACUGAUAAUUUAGGAUGAAACUGAGAACAGUUUCCUCCUUAUGAUUUGGGCUGAUUAAAAUUGAAGCUACCUAUCCUAGCUUUCUUAUUCUACUUCUCUCUCAUCUUAACCUUUUGCUCCUCAAUCUACUGAGCAUGAGUCAUAAGCCUGGCUAAAGUCAUGUCACUAUUUAGCAUGGCGUAUCUGCACUCAUUAACAAUACUAUUAUUCACCCCUAAAAUGAACUUACUCAUCCUUGCCCUACUAUUUUCAACCACAUGAGGGACAUAUCUAUCUAAUUAAGUAAACUUAAGAGAAUACUCUUUCACUGUCAUAUUUCCCUACCUGAGAUUGAUGAUUCUAAUACCUUAGGUUCCCUAAGAUUUAGGGGAAAGAAUCUAUCAAGGAAAGCAUACGUAAACUCCUCCCGCUCAACUGGCCCUGCAUCAUCUGCCCUCUCUGACUUUCACUACUUGAACCAAGUGUGAGCAACAUCCUGCAACUGAUAUUUAGCUAGCUUAUCACUCUCAACACUAUUCAUCCCAUGAAGUCUGUCACCUUCUGCAUCUUAUCUAGGAAUUCCUGAGGGUCCUCAUCUGUAUUAGACCCAAGAAAGUAUGGAGGAUUUAUUUGGGUGAAAUCUCAAAUCCUGGAUGUAGUUGAAUUGGCCAUUGGGUUGGAUAGAACGACAGCUGGUCACUCAUUAUAGGUAGCUAAUGACUGAGCAAGUAUGAUAAAUAUGGUCCUAAACCCUGCAUGAGAAACAUAAUCACCCAAAGGUUCUUCGAGCUGAGGGGCUUACUGAUUUCUUCUCUUAGGAGGUAUAUUUUGAAAUAAAGAGAAGAAGUGGAUUAGACUUAGAGAUUGACUUGUGAUUAUGCUCACUGGCAUGAUAUGAAUAUUGAAAGAAGGAAAACUGUUCCUAAAGAUCUCAUAGCCUCGUGCACCUAAAUAGGGCGCGCAACACACCCAUGCACAAGACUCUACUAGAUGCGAUUUUCAGACUUCCUAGGUCUCUAUUGAACCUUAGGCUCUGAUACUAAGUUUGUAACCCCCCGAUUUGCUGAACCAAAAUGCUACACGGUGCUCAUGACUCCGAAGGACCACAAGCUAACCCAUGACUAAUAUCAGUACCUAUAUACAGCAUAAAAUACUGAAUAAAUAAGGUUCACAUAAUUGAAGUAAAACAUAACAUCUAGACGGGGUAUGAAAUACCAAAAAAAAACUUAAAAAUACUAGAGUCUAAAAUAUGUUAGUCUAGAAAGCCUCUAACUGACUAAACUGUCUGAGUAAGGAGUUUAUGGGACAUGUCCCUAACUAACUCCAACUAAUAAACUAGUUAAUGAGAUAAUAGGGAAUAAUCAGGUCCUCAAAUGAUAAGGACUCACUUCUAACUCUGACUCCUGAAACUGGAACCUACAACUGAUCGGGAGAUCGUGUCUCUGAACCUAUGGUAUAAGACACCAUAGCGCAAAUGCAUCAGUACUUUGAAUGUACUAGUAUAUAUGUGAGGUACGCUAAAUGUAAGGGGUUCAUAUGCAUGAACAAUAAUAAUAACUGACUAACUAUCAUGGGCAUGAGAAUACAUGCAUGGGACAUAACAACUGACACUAAUAUUGUGAUAACAUGAUUACUGAACCUGAAUAUAAUUGAUAACAUAAGUGACUGUAUCUGACAGUCCUGAAUUUGAUGGAACUAUCUGAGUUCCAUACUAUGUCUGAGUUGACUGUAUCUGACAGCCCUGAAUUUUGAAGAACUAUCUGAGUUCUUUUACUGAGACUGGUACUGAGACUAUGGGAUGUAGUCAUCUAACCGACAUACCCCAAAUGAUGCAUUAUAGCUGAAUUGGGGUCCAAUCUAUACCCUGAUUGGAAGGGUGUCAAACCGCGCCUCUGGUAAGGAUAAUAUAUGAGUGACCCUAAUAUAAUAGUUAAAUCUAGUGAAAAUGGUGGGAAACCUCAUAUAGCAGGCUAAGCCACCUUAUCUACCCUCAUAUAGCAGGCAAUAAUGUCUCAACCUAUGUUGGCAACAUAGUUCUGGAAUGCAAGGAUUGCUUCUAAGAAUCACACCCUCACAUAACAGGUGAGGUCACAUCGUUGGGUCACUCAGUGCUCAUUUCUACACUCAUCUGAAUAAACACUAAUCAUAAUUUACUAAAAUGAAUAGGAAUUAACUUACUAAGUUCCGUUAACUGACGGAAUAUAUUGAUAUCUGACAACUCACUGAGUCAUGAGAUCAUGGAGAUUUUUCUUGAGUCAUAAGACUAUCUGAUGUCUAAGGAUUCAUAUCUUCACUGAGAGUAUCAUGAAAACAUAACAUGGCUCUAGGUACAAAGCUAAUGUUUUGGGUACAAGUACCCCCAGGACUCGAUGGAAGGAAACUGACCAAGCAUAACUUACUUGAACAUAUAACUAACAUCAUAAUCCAUAAUAAAUUUAUAGAAGCAUUCCAUCAAAACAUGUGAAGGCAUAACUUGUACAUACAUGGGGAUUUCAUGAUAUCAUACUAGUUGGGCAUUGUUCCUUCAUCUAGGUAUUUAAUCAAACACAUAGUAGGCAUAGCACAUAUAGACAACAUUAUACAACAAUUAAUCAUCAUGUAGAUAUCAUGAAGAUUGAUGAUGAAACCUUCUUGAAUUUGAAUCCCCAAUAGAAACCCUAGCUUGUUCUUGAGAGAAACUUGAGAGAAAAUAUAUAUUUUGGGUAAAGAAUGACUAAAUCACAUGUUAUUGGGUUUAAUUAGGGGUAGGAAAUUGACUCUUUUAACCCUGGAUGCAUCAUUUAAUUUCAGUAAAAUUUUUUCGAACUGGGUCCCUGGUGCGACAUGGCAUUAUCGCACCGUGUCAUUGGAAAUUGACAAUUGGUAAAUUGAGGGAUGGCGUGACGUGGAUCCAUUGAGUUUCUCCUUCUUUUGUGACCUGGAACUUUGGCACGAAGCAGAGGAAAUCACACUAAGACACUGGAAAAGGAGAAUUCUGAAUUUGGGCCCUGGCGCGACAUGCCAUAAUUGCAGACCUAUAUUGGAAUUUUCCAAAUACCACUUCCUCUUGUUGCACGGCGUGCAACUGACUAAUAUGGCAUUGUUUUAUGAUGGAAACUUAAAAUAUUCGUAACUUCAGACUUGGUUAUCAGAUUUGGGCAAAUCUUAUAUCGAUGGAAAUCUUAUUGAAUUUUUCAUAUGACAAAAAGUGAACAUCUUGAAAAUUCCUCAUGGAAUAAUACUCCUUUACUUUAGAAGCUAAUACUAGACAUUCUUGAGAUGAAAUUAGCUAGGAAAAAGUAUGGGGUAUUACACAUACCUUUCAUAUAAGUAUUUUUCUAGUAAUGAGAAAAAAUAUCUCACCGUUGUUGCUAGUUACAUGUUUGCCCUCUGGAGGGAACUUUUAUUAUUUUCCUAGUUGCCUUGAUUUUUAUUACCUCAGCCUUGGUAACCACCUCCUUGAUUACUUGACCUUACCACUGUGGUAUCUACUGGUUCUAAUAAGGCUACCUUUGGUUAUUCUAUAGCUGGUAUUGAUUGCCUUGAGCACUGUUACAUAAUUAGCUUCCUUAAAUUACAUUGAAAAAGCUUUCAGAUACUACAUCAUUUGUUGCGCAUAAUUAACUUGUGACACAACAUGCAUAUUUUUUACUGUCUUCACCUUUUUAAAAUUAUUUUUCGGAAGACUUUUCAUUAUACGAUUAAUAUUAGGGACAUAUUAGAGAUCAGUUAAUCUCUCUCCUAAUUUUCCUUUAUAAUCAUAGUUAGUGAGAGAUUACCAUAGAAAUACCAUGACUAUUGUCGGAUGAAUUCCAUGUUUGGUUGUGUUUCACUCUAUCCAUUAGAUCACAAAAUAUGACAUAUGAUAUAUCCAUGAAAUAACCGCUAGCCACAUUGUUGGGUACAAAUUGAUUCAAAGCAUCAUGGUUCACAUAGAACUUUCCCAGAAGAAUGAUCACUAGAAAUCCAUGAUUUGGGGACUUUUAGAUGUUUUCUCAAAUGACUUUCAAGCUUCAUAAAGUUGUUCCAUAUGUACCUGUUCGAAGUGAAAUAUUUUGUUUUCCAAUUCUUCUUUUCUACUCGGAGGGAAGGAAAUUUUAGGAAUACAUUCACUAAUUUGCCCAUGGGCUGAUGGAUUUUACACUCAAUAUUAUAGAUUCAGGUUCUUAAUUCUCUUAUGAAGGAGUACUUAAAUACCCUCAGUCCAAUAACAUCAUCAGGGACAUUGGCUUGCUUGUGCAUCACAUUGACUGUAGUGAAAUUCUUCAAGUGAUGAUGAGGUUUAUCAUCUAUAGAGUUUCAAAAUAGCUCCUCAACCUUGUGCAUAAUGUAUAUUCUUGAUUCAAUCUUAAAAGAUAUAACAUUCAUGUGAGGUAGCACGAUGACAUUAACAUAGUCAAUAUUUCAAAUUCAAGUUAACAAACAUAUCGACUUCUUCAUUUGGUUCAAACUGCUACAGGGUUGCUUUUCCAGUGACAACUGUUGCUUCAAUAGCUGAGAAUGCUUCAAUCUUAAAAGAUUAAAAAUCAUACGAGGUGGCAUGAUGACAUUAAAUUAGUAAAUUUUUCAAAUUCAAGUCAACAAACAUAUUGAUUUCUUUAUUUAGUUCAAACUGCUACAGGGUUGCUUUAGCAGCGACAAUUGCUGCUUCAGUAGCUACUUGUGCAGCUUGUGCUCGUCGGGCUACUGUUUGUUCCAUAAUAAUCCUAUUCAUAACAAAAUAAGAAAAUGUGUGAUGGAAUAGAAAUCACCUAAUUAAAGUAAAACUAAUAAGUAAGUUUCAGACUGUAUUCCUUGACAAUGACACCAAAAUUUGAUAUGCCCAAGGUAUACCCUCAGAUGUUGUAACAGGUCAUAUGCAAAUUUAGUAACCCCAAACUAGAUUGGGAUCAAAUAACAUAUAAAAUAAGGUGAAAACAAUACAGAUCGGAUGAGUACCAGGUUGAGAUCUGAUUUCUAUUUUGUAAGAGUUCGAAAGAAGUUGUACAACUUAAGCAAAAUUUUGAACUAAUAAUAAGUUGUAAACUUACAAGAUUAAAGCACUAAAAUUGUGUCCCCAAAAUGGAAUGCUCAAUUCAUUGAUUUUCAUGUAAUUAAAGAUAAUUUAGUUUUAAAUAUGCACUCAUUCCCUAAACCAUCACACAAUCUUUUUCAAGAGUUGAUCAAUUCAUCUCAAUAAAAUGUUCGUAGAACUUUAUGAUUUAUUUUGUAGGAGUUUGUCUAUGAAAAUUAAAAAAUUUUGAAGUUGGAGUUGAAGUUGUGUUUGGCCAUGUCUUUUUAAAAGAUUUUUUUAGACUUUUGAAAAGUCUUUUUAAAAUAUUAUACCCUCAACUUUUAAAAAACUAUCAAAAUCACUCAACUAACUGAUAUACCUACUAACAUACAACUAGUUGUGAUUCUUAAAGCUAGUUUAAAGUCUUUAAAACUAUUAUAGCGAGAUAGAGUAGUUAAUAUAUGGUACUAAAACAAUAAUACUCAAUUAAGAGAUGAAAAUUACAUGUAUAAUAGUUAUUCUCUAUAAAAAGAACAUCUAACCAGAUUUCAAUGAUGAGAAGGAUCCAAAUAAGUUUUGCUAUUGUGUAAUCCCUUUUGUAACACUAACAGCUAACCAAAUUUCUAUUGUAAUCACUAAAUGGUUGUUCUUUGUAAAAAGAAAAUUAUUGCUUAAUAGUUCUUAACUGAUAAAUAGAUAAAUAUAAAUUCCAAUGAUUAUAAGGAUUCAAAGAAAUUUUGUGAUGGUGUAACCCCUUGAAAAUGAUGAUUUAGAUAGAAGAUCCCUCCCAACACUAAAAGUUCUCACUAAUCUAAGGUAACAAGUAUGCUUAAUAUCAUGAAAAUUUAAAUAGAAAGGCAAUUUAAUCAAAAUAGCAAAUUUGGCUUGAUAAGCAUCGUAAUGAUGGUUGGCCAAAGUAAGAGUGUCACAACCCUAGUCGGGGCCCUGGCCGUAAUGAGCAUCCCAAUCCAUGAAGGCUCGGGCGCCCCUUUCUUUCUGGCAAUCAUGCAUAAAUUCAUACAAUAUAAAGAAUUUGUAGAAAAACAUAUAAAACAGAACCAUGUUCAAUCUCAUAAAACUUGAACCAUUCGGAAAGAAAUUCUUAAUAUUCAAAACAUAUAACACCCGUCUGUGAAAUCCCUAACAUUACAAGAUCCAGCAUAUGUCUAAAAGAAAACUGGGACAAGGCCCUCAGUCAGACCAUGAAUCAAAAAAAUGGCAAUGUUUAUAAAAGCCUAGCCUUUCGAAAUAGAGAAGGCUCACCAACAGUGAAUCUCGAUAACACCAAUCUACUACUUAGCUGGACCCUAGGACUGUGUCUCAGAUCCUAAAAUAUAGGGGCAUCAAUAUAGAUGUUCUGGUAGGCAGAGCAAUCCAAAAUAAUAUACUUAUAUAUAUAACAUAAGUGAGAGCAUUUCAUAAAAUGUUAUACUUGAAAUAAUUUAAAACACAUGGGCAACUUUAAAUGAUCAUUCAAACUGUUCUGUAGAUAUAAUACCAUUCUUUAUUUUACUUUUGAGAUAGGUGGUACACCUUAAAAUUCUAUAGUCCACGGGAUAUAUGGAAUCCUCCCUUGACUUGGUGGCCAAGCCCCCAACCCAAGUUUAUCGCAAAGGUUGGAUUUUCUAUUCUGAUACACCACAGGGCACUAGGCCAGCAUAUAAUCCCUAUUUGGGAAUAUAAUAAACCUGUAUUGACAAAACACGAUUUCGAAAAAUGAGUUCUAUAAACUCGUGCCUUCUUCGGGUAACCACCUAACUCUCUUUAAUCCCAAUUUUAACCUUUUCUAAACAUGCAUCGUUCUAAGCUCAAAAUCAGAAAAUCUGCAUUCUAUUUUGUUCUGUGUUACCAUGGCAUUAUAUGUAUUGGUAUCAUCAUACCAAGACUUACAAGUAAUAUUUCUCAUCCAUACAUUGUCAAAUUACAACUCUUUUCAAGCAAAACAAUGUUUAGACCACAAAAUCAAACAAACAAUACAAGAGAGUUGUUAUUUUCAAAACAUAUUUCAAACUAUAUAGAGAUUCUCUCUUUUCAUUAUUUCAUCAAACAUGUGGUGGUCAAGUAUUUUGUGACAAACCAUGAAACUCUUUAAAAUCAUUACUUCUCCUUUAUAUAAAAAAGAAAUACCCUCUCUUCAAUUCAUAAUUAAGAUCAAGUCUUAAACAACAGUAAAGAUAUUUGUAACAUGCUUCUCAGUAUGAAAUUAAUUAAUUCAUAUCAUAUAAAAAUAAGGGGAUUUAUAAAAAGAGAGGGAAUAUAAUUCUUCUUGCUCUCAAUUCAAAUCCCAAACAUCAAACCAUAUGCAAACAUAUAUAUAAACAAAAUCAAGUUUAAGGGGUAAAGACUCAAGACCAAAACAUUAUUGUCAAAAAGGAUUCACAAUGCAUAAUUGUAAAUAUACAUUCAAACCCUUUUGUAAAUUCAUGAUUUCUCAACAUUUAAACAUAAUUAAAAUGAUUUUACCAUGCCCAUGUAGUUUAUGAAAUCUCCACAUACCUUAUGUUGUUUAUUUUGAGGAUUGGAACUUAAAUCUUGACCCUUUUCUUACAAACUUAAACUUAGAGCAUUUCUCAGUCUUGACUGGGUUGCAGCAGCGAUCGAAUCUUAGUCCAUUUAUUUUUGUCGUGGUGAUGGAUGUGCUGACAAGGAGCAUACAAGGCAAGGUGCCUUGGUGUAUACUUUUUGCGGAUGACGUAGUUUUGAUUGAUGAGUCGCGACAAGGUGUUAAUGAUAAGCUAGAGGUUUGGCGACAAAACCCGGAGUCUAAAGGUUUCAAUUAGUAGGACUAAGAUGGAGUACUUAAAGUCCAAGUUUAGUGACUCGAGGCAAAAGGAGGAGGUGGUAGUGAAGUUCGAUUCCCUGGUGGUUUGCAAGAGAAUAGUUUUAAGUAUCUUGGGUCUAUGAUUCAGGGGAAUGAAGAGAUAGAUGAGGAUGUCUCUCACUGUACUAGGGUAGGUUGGAUGAAAUAGAGGCUCGCUCUGAGAAUUUUAUGCGAUAAAAAGGUACCCCCAAGCUAAAAGGCAGAUUCUAUAGAGUUGUAGUCCGACCAGCUAUGUUAUAUGAAGCGGAGUGUUGGCUAGUUAAGAAUUCUCAUAUUCAAAAGUUGAAGGUGGUGGAAACAAGGAUGUUGCAUUGGAUAUGUGGUUUUACAAGGGAUAACAGGGUUAGGAAUGAGAGCAUUCAAGAGAAGGUGGGAGUGGUGUCUAUGGAGGAUAAAUUGUGGGAAGUUAGGCUGAGAUGGUUUGGCCAAGUGAUGAGGAGAGGUACGGAUGCCCCGGUUCAUAGGUUUAAGAAUUUGGCCUUGGAUGGUUUCAAGCAGGGUAGGAGUAGACCAAAGAAAUACUAGAGGGAAGUGAUUAAACGUGACAUAGAGCAGUUACAGAUGACUAAGGACAUGAUCCAAGAUAGAAAGGUAUGAAGGAAAAACUUUAGGAUAGAGGCUAAGGUGUGUGGUUGAGUUGUAGGAAGUAGGUAGGAGGGCUUUGGUGUCCUUGUUUGGCAGUUUUAAAUAUUUUUGGUGGAUGUCAUACUUAUGUUAUUUUAUCUUGUUCCAUGCAUUUUUUUUCAAUAUAUACUAUCCCUUAUCUUGAGCCAGGGGUCUAUCGGAAACAGCCUCUCUACUUCUUUAGAGGUAGUGGUAUGGACUGCAUACACUCUACCCUCCCCAAACCCUAUGAUAUAGGAAUAUACUGGGUUUGUUGUUGUUAUCGUUUAGAGGAAAACCCUAGUUUGAUCUUGUUUUUUAAAGUGGAGAGAAUUUGAGAUGUUGUAAAAGUUGAUUAAUAACACUUAAGGUGCAAUUUAAUUCAUGGGAAAGGUUUAUGGAGUGAGGAAAAGACCAAAAUACCCUUAAAGAAACCAAAGAAGUCGCAUAAUUCCAUCAGUUAACGAUCAAGGUUGAUGUCCCGUCACUCAGGUGAUGGCUCGUCACCUAGGCAUCACUUUUGAGCUGGAUUUUACCACUUAUUGCCCUAAGAUGACGACUAGGGCUGAUGUUCCAUCACUUAGUUGACAGCUUAUCAACUUGGUUGCCACCUAGUUGACAAGUCAUCAUCUUCGUCGUCACUUUCAGGCAGUUAGACACUCUGAAGUAAAAUAAGCAUAACUUUCUGCUCUGAUAUCGGAUUAAGGUGAAACCUAUUGCGUUAGACAAAAAACUCGAAGACCUUUCAUUUGGUAUAUAGUAGUCUAUCUAACUUGUUAUAUAAAAUAAGUUGUGAUCGAUGAAAUUUAACCCAAGUUUAGACGUUCAUCAAAACUUAAUCGACAGAAGAGUUUUCAACUCGUCUUUGAGUUUGGGGAUUUUUGUGACCUCAAUUCAUAUUCAAAGGUAUUCACACACUAUAGGAUUGAUCAUCACACAUAUAUUAAUAAAGAAUCAUUGGGUUUGGGUCUAUACGCAUAGAAAGAACGAUUCAACUUUUAGCCCGAAAAUGCGGGGUGUUACAAAAAGAGGGGUUUUCUAUAAACAAAAAAAUUAAAAAUUGGGGUCAUUAUAACAAUAAUAAAAGUUAAAAUUGGAGUUGGAAAAAUGGUAAAAACAAUAAAAAGUUGUUUUCACUUUUCAGAAAAUAAUUUGGAAUAUUUUUUGGAAUUUCCAUGGCCAAACACCACAUAUUUUAUAAAGUGAAAAAAAAUCGAAAAAAGUAAAAAAAAAAAAUUAUGGCCAAACAGCCUCUAAAAAGUAUGACAGAUUAUGCCAUGUAAAUGUAACUUAUCCCUAAUCAACUAUAUUAAACUAGGGAUAACGCCUCACGUUCAUGCAACUCUUCUUCUACCAAAUCUUAAUCUACUUUUCCAAGCAAAAUUAGGAUAUUAUCAAUUCAUAUUCAAAGGUAUUCACACACUAUAGGAUUGAUCAUCACACAUAUAUUAAUAAAGAAUCAUUGGGUUUGGGUCUAUACGCAUAGAAAGAACGAUUCAACUUUUAGCCCGAAAAUGCGGGGUGUUACAAAAAGAGGGGUUUUCUAUAAACAAAAAAAUUAAAAAUUGGGGUCAUUAUAACAAUAAUAAAAGUUAAAAUUGGAGUUGGAAAAAUGGUAAAAACAAUAAAAAGUUGUUUUCACUUUUCAGAAAAUAAUUUGGAAUAUUUUUUGGAAUUUCCAUGGCCAAACACCACAUAUUUUAUAAAGUGAAAAAAAAUCGAAAAAAGUAAAAAAAAAAAAUUAUGGCCAAACAGCCUCUAAAAAGUAUGACAGAUUAUGCCAUGUAAAUGUAACUUAUCCCUAAUCAACUAUAUUAAACUAGGGAUAACGCCUCACGUUCAUGCAACUCUUCUUCUACCAAAUCUUAAUCUACUUUUCCAAGCAAAAUUAGGAUAUUAUAGAGUACGUUAAUGUUUGCAACCAUCAACCAAUAAUUAAGAAUAAGAAGAAGGUUGAUAUUUUACCACACAAUAAUUAUGAAACGCACAAAGACCAUAUGAACCUUUCAAUCUCAUUGAACUUCACAACCUUAAUAAUAGUGGAAUUUAGCUAUUCAUACUUGAAAGUAAACAACAAAAAUAAUAAAUAAAAUAAUUCAUAUAGCUUAGUUGAAUAUAAAAACUUGGAAGAAUAAUGACAUUUUUCAUUCCUCACAAAAAAAACUAAAGAGAAAUUGAUGAAUUUUAAAUGUAAUAAACUUUUCAUUCCUCCGUUUGAACAUGAAAAUAAUAAUUUUCUAGAGUUGAAGUUGGAGUUGAAAGUGGUGUUGUGUUUGACCAUGAAUAUAAAUUGGAGUUAUUUUUAAAAAAAUUUUAGAGAAAUAAAAUAAAAGUAAAAACUUUUACUUUUCCAAAAAUAAUAUUUACUAGAGUGAAAUAAUUAUUUUUAAAAUAUAAAAAAAUUCUGAUCCUUAAACACCUACUUAUAAUGGGAAGGGACAAUAGCUUUUUCCACAUGGAAACAUUCUCUAAUUAUUAAGAUCUUGGAUAAGAAAUUAUCGCAUCAAUACUUGAGAGAAAAACUCAUGGAGUUGCGGAACUCCCCUAAAAAUUUCCCUCUUAUCGAUUUGGUUUUAGAUUUUUUCAUGAUCAAAUUCACUAAAGAAGAAAGUGUAACUCAUGUAUUGCAAAAAGUUCCUUGGUUCAUUAAUGGUCAUUACCUCUCUAUCAAAUGUUAGGAGCCAAAUUUUGUCCCGGAGAAGGCUAAGUUAAUGAUUUUCACUAUGUGGGUUCGUUUUCCCCAAUUACCUACAGAAUAUUAUGAUGGGUUGUUGCUUCACAAAAUUAGUAAAUCCAUUGGAAGAUUACUAAAAAAUGAUGACUGCACAAGCUCAACCCUUAGUGGGAGAUAUGCUAGACUUUGUGUAGAAAAACCUAUGGAUGAACAUGUUCUCCAAAACAUUCAAGUAGGCAACCAUAAAUAAUCCUUCAUGUACAAAGGCGAGGGAUUUCUUUGUGUUAAAUGUGGUUGUUUUGGACAUACAAUGGAUAUAUGUACAUAUCAAACUCCAACUACAACCUCGAUCCCACCCCCCAAAGAUGAUAUACCUAGGGUGAAUGAAGUAAAGUUCUCCCAUGAUGAAUGGCAAACACUGAAAUUCCCCCAGAAAAAUGCACUCACCGAACAACAAAAACUUUAUCUGCUACAUCAAUGCCCUCAGGCUCUACAACUUCACAGACUUCACAACAAUAAGCUUGGAUCGCACCAAGGUAACAACUUCACAAACUUCACAACAACAACUUAUGGAUCGUACCAAGGUAACAACUAAUUUAGGAUCCAAUUUAGGUAAGUCACCUCACAAUCUCUUUAAUUUUUCUUCCCAAUAUCCUAAUCAUAUGCGUAAUCCUAUCUUCAUCUCUACCAAUAAAAUUUUUUACCGCAACAUACAACUACUUAUAAUAAAUUUGUUGUUUUACAUAAAGAAGAGGAUCCCACAAUAUCCACGCCAUUAAUGUAUACUAGCAGACUUAUUGUUCCCUAAUGUCCCAAUCACCAAUUUUUUUUAGAUCAUAUAAUAGAAACUACAACAAAUUUGUGUCUUUCAUUAGAAAUGAGGUCAACUCUUUUAGGGAUGAUACAGGUGGUGCCAACGUGUCCAUUCCCAACACUACAUCUAAUUUUGUCAUGGGCCUUACUCAAACUAUUAGCAGCUUCUCUACAACUAGGGUUGAGUUGUAUAAUACAAUUCCCUCUUCAAUUGACAGCAUAUUUGCUGGCUUGGCCACUAGGAUCGUACACUUGGCGGAAAACAUAAUGAAUUCAACCCACAUGUAACUUCCUAAUAGAGAAGAACAAAAUAAAAGGAAAGAAACCAGAGAAUGGAAAGCCUUAAAAACAUUUGCAGAGGAUAUGGCUGAAUGAAUUUUAUUCAAUACGAUUAGUGGCAUUAUAUAUACUUACAUAGUUUAAAGAGUCACUAUCCCACUAAACUACUACUGUACCUCCACUAAACAAGUUCUCCUAAAUUUAAGGAAUACAUAUUUGCAGUACUAGAAAUAGGGAAAAGCUAUCACAAACUAAAAAAUAACAAAUGUUAACUGAAUGCUAAAAUUUAGCAAUUAAAGACUUAGUCAAACUAGAAGGCAACAACUGAUGUUGUACACUUUAACACUCUCUCUUGAAAUUAUAUCCUAUCUUAACCAUGCCCAGUUGUUGACAUAAACUUUCAAAUUUACUAACACUUAAGCCUUUUGUGAACAUAUCUGCAAUUUGCUACUCGGUUUUAAUAUGCUUCUAGUCAAUCUAUCCUUGCAACACUUUUUCUCUUAUGAAAUGGUGAUGUAUUUCCAUAUUCUUAGUUCUUGCAUGGAAAGUAGGAUUCUCAGCCAAGAAAAUCGUUUACUGAUUGUCACAGUACAAGGGAACAGUAUAUCUAACCAGUUGUUGCAAGUCCUUCAUCAACUACAUAAGCUAUGUACUUUUUUUAGCUACAACUGCUUCUACCCGAUACUCUACUUCUGUUGUUGACAGCGAUAUUGUUGGUUGCCUUUUAAUACACCAAGAAAUUGCUUUAGCUCUGAGCUAAACACAAAACCAUCCAUUAAACGAUGGGUAUUAUGGUCCCCUCCAUAGUCAGAGUCACAGUAUCUGACCAACUCUCAUUCUUCACCUUUAUUGUACAAAAAACCAUAAUCAAUCUUACUUUUCACAUAUCUUAGUAUUCGCCGAAUAGCCUCCAUGUGUUGCUUCUUUGGAUUUUGCAUGUAACGACUCAUCACACCAACUAUAAAAGAAAUAUUAGGUCGAGUCUGAGUUAAGUAAAUCAAACUACCUACCAAUUUUCAAUACAUCAUCACAUCUUCUAAAUCUUUUCCUUCAUGUCCGCACAUCUUAGUAUUUGGCUCCAAUGGUGUUGUGAGUAGUUUGUAAUUAAACAUCCCAAACUUCCUCAAUAAAUAGUUGGAAUAUUUUUUUCUGAUGCAAACAAAAUUCCUUCCUCAUUACGAUCAACCUCCAAGCCGAGAAAAUGGUUAAGUUGUGCGAGUUCCUUCAUUUGGAAGAGAACUGACAAAUUCUUCUUAGUUCAAAAAAUUUCUUCUUCAUAAUCUCCUGUUAAGAUUAGAUCAUCCACAUAUACUAGCAUAAUAGCUAGUUUUCUUCCAACAUUUUUCACAAACAAACUAGAAUCUGCCAAUGCUAUGAAAUAACCACUAUGAGUAAGAAAUUCUUUAAUCUUAUGAUACCAUGCCCUUGGCACUUGCUUUAAUCUUUAUAGUACCUUUCAAAGCUUACACAUAUACUCAAGAUGAUCUUGACUUUGAAAAUCCAUUAGUUGGCACAUGUAGAUCUUUGGAUCCAACUCACCAUGUAGAAAUAUAUGUUUUACGUCUAUCUACCAAAGGUUCUAUUCUUUACUAGCUGCAAGUGCAAGAAGAAUUCGGACAGUAGUAAGCUUUGCCACUGGACUAAAUGUUUCAUCAUAAUCUAGUCCAUAUUUCUGAGAAAACCCCUAAGCUACAAAAUGAGCUUUGUGCCUUUUAAUUGAUCCAUUUGUGUUACGCUUUAUCUUGUAAAUCUAUUUACAAGAAAUAGGUUUGACAUCCUUCGGCUUUUCCACGAGCUCCCAAGUUUGAUUCAAUUCUACCACAGCAAUUUCCUCCUUCAUAGCUUUAAUCCAUUUUGAAUUCUUGAAUGCUUCCUCAAAAAUCUUUGGUUCUUUUUCAUCAUCUUCGUCUACGGCAGCAUUCGCAUACUUGGGAUUUUGAUUUUUGAUUCUUCUUGACCUUCUAAGUGUAGGUGGUGUGUUUACUUUAUUUAGCUCGCCUUCUUCACUUGGUUAUUUGUACAAACCAGUUUGCCAAAAAUUUUGAGUCAUACCUUCUUUAAUAUUAUCUUUAUUAGCUUUAGCUUCAGCUUUAUUUAGACUCAACUUGAUAUGAUAUGAGUCUAAUACAUCUUUGAGAGCAUCUGAAUCUGGCAUCAGUUCCUUAUUUGAAGACCACCAUGAAGAGGCUUCAUCAAAUAUCACAUUUUGAGAAGUGUAACACUUCCCUGUUAUGGUAUUAAAACAUCGCCACCCUUUUCGUUGACUAUCAUACCCUACAAAAAUACACCUAACAACCUUUUUGUCCAUCUUGCUACGCAAAUAAUUAGGUAUGAAUACAUAGCACACAUCUGAAAGCACGAAAAUAGCUAACCAAAGGUUUCAUAUUCCAUAACUUAUCUAAAGGUUAAAGAAAAUUUAACCUUUAUUGAGGAAGUCUAUUGAUCACAAAAGCUAUCGUCUUCAUAGCUUCCACCCAAAAUUGUCUCAGAGUAUUUUUUGCGUGAAGCAUGCUCCGACAAAUUUCUGCUAGGUGUCUGUUCUUCCUUUCUGUGAUGCCAUUUUGCUACAGCAUAUUUGGACAUGUGAACUGAUGAUUAUUCGACACUUCCAAAGGAACUCGAAAAAUUCAUAUGAGGUAUAUUCCCCAUCAUUAUCAGUUCGCAGACAAUAAAUUUCCUUGCCAACUGCUGCUUCAGCAACCUUUUUGAGCUCUUUGAAUUUUAAAAUUAUAUCAGAUUUUUCCUUUAAAAAAUAACCCACAGGUACCUAGAAAAAUGGUCAACGAAGAUCAACAUAUAUUUUAUUCCACCAACAGAGACUUGCUUGAUAGGACCGAACAUAUCUAAGUGAAUUAACUCUAAUGUUUCUUUGGUCUUAUAUUUUGACUCUUCAUGUGGAAGCUGAUGCGCUUUAGCAUCCUAGUAGCCUAAACAUAUCACAUCUGUCCUUACUAAAAAUUUAGGAAGAUCCUUCAGUAUUGACUUUUCCAAUAUGACACUAAGUUUUGAGUAGCUAACGUGACUCAAUCACAUAUGCCACAAAUCUGCAAUUUUGUUCUUCCUAGUUUUGUCUAUGUAUGUGGUUUCUACCGACAUUACAUUAACAGAAUUCAAUCUUUGUCCCUUUAUUACUGGCUCUUCUUUAAUUUGAAGAUCAUGAAAUAUCUUUACAUCUUGUGGACCAAAUAGACCAAAGUGACCCGAAGAUGUUAAUUGUUCUACUGAAAGAAGAUUUUUCUUCAUACCUAGUACAUGAUAAACAUUUUGGAGCAGCAUCAGAUCAGCACAUUUGCUUAGAGACACUAUAGCCUUACCGAUGUGAGCUAUCGAUAAUUUUGUGUCGUCAUCUGUCACCAACUCAUGGCUUUCCUUGUACUCGGAAAGAUUUUACAGCUUCUAUUUGUCGCCAGUCAUAUGGUUUGAGCAUUCAGAAUCAAUAAUACAAUCAUUCUCAUAGUCAAUUUGCUUAAAGGUUGUUACGGUAAAAGCUAGAUCCUCUUGUUCAAGAGCAAAGAAUGCUUCAGCAUCCUAGUUAUCCUCACAAAUUUCCUUUGGACCAGAAGUAGCAGCAGCAUUUCUUUCAACAGACCUUUUAUUGAAAUAGUAAAACUUGGCUUUAUGGCCCUUGUUUCCACAGUUGUGGCACUUCCCUUCAAACCUCUUGUUUUUUCCCUAUUGAUUCUUUGACGCUCUCUCUGGACGAUAGCUUCCCUCUCCUUGUUUACUUUUUUCCUUAUCAUCAUUUCUUUUCGAUCCACCAGCAUUGUCACUACAAGAAAAGUUCUUAUUACCUGUGGAUUUUCAUAGGGAUAAUGUGGUAAAAUUUCCAAGUAAUUUGACUACCUGCGGAUUUUCUUACCAAUUAGAAUCCAAAGAAAAUACCUUCGUAGGUAAUUAUUACCUAUGAAUUUAUAAAAUUCCUAGGUAAUUUAAUUGCAAAAAUAAAUCCGUGGGUACGUUAUUUGCGAUUAACUAUCAAAAUUUUACAUGAAUUAUUUGGUAAAAUUUCAUAAAAAAGGAUUUUACCUGUGGAUUUCCACGAAAAAAUUCACAAAUUAUUUCCCACGAAGAUUCCCAAGUAAAUUUCUAGGUAAUUUGGUUGCGAAAAUAAAUUUUUAGGUACGUUAUUUGCGGAUUUAUUUGUGAUUAACUAUCAAAAUUUUGCAUGAAUUAUUUGGUAAAAUUUCAUUAAAAAAAAGAUUGUACCUGUAGAUUUUCACAAAAAAACUCACAAAUUAUUCUCUAGAAAGAUUUUCAAGUAAAUUCGAAGGAAGUUUAGAGGUGAAAAUUUCUAAUUAACAUAAAAAAUUCUUAUGGAUAUUUAUGAAACUAUUUCGUAAGAAAUGCCCCAAAUAAUCUGCAAGAACAAAUUUUUUCCAAAAAAUUUUCAUGAAUAUUUAGCAUGUACAUCCCAAUGAAAAUUCUCAAGAAAUAAUUCACAUGUAAAUUACUAGAAAUAUUUCACAAUUAAUCAAAAAUCUAUUCAAAACCUUCAAUAAUUCUCAAAAACAUUAUUCAAUACAUGUCUAAUGUAAACCAUUACAGCUAACAAAAAAACAUAAUUCAAAACAUCUACAUCUAUAAUGUAUGAUUCUUAAAUGGUCCAAAAUAAAACAUUUUUCAAACUUGAAUCCUCAAUAAAACUACCAACCAUUAGGGUCAGAAUCACUUUCAUUCACGUUAUUAGGAUUAUCACUUUUAUUCACGUUGUCAGAGUCAUCAUCACUUUCAUCAUGAUAAGCUUGGUUGUCUUCUUGAGAUGAGCGUUCAUAAUUUAAAGAUGAUUUAUUGUAUAUAUGCUUCAUGAACAAGUGUAAUUCUUUUCUAAUCCUCUUAUUUUUGUUUCUCUCAUUCUACAACUGAGCAUACAAAUCAGUAUUUGAAGCAUCAACCUAAGACUUACUCAUCUCAUCAAUUUCUUUUGGCAAAGUUGAUAUUGAAUUGUUAGUUGUCUUUACACUUGACCCAGGGAACCAAUACCUUUUACUUUUCCUUUUUUCUUUCCACCAACAAAUUGCACCCAGAUAUCCAUUUCACUUAACUGAGCAGGCUUACUAGCUGAAUUAGUUUCUCCAUCCACAGUUGAUGCACUUUAAGCAGCUAAUAUUUUUUGUUUCUUUCUUGUAAACUCAUUCUGCAUAAGGAUAUGUUAAGUUAAACCAUAAAAUGUGAUAAUAAAUAUAUUAUUAAUAUAAAUUAUAUUAGAUAUAGACUAACAAUUGCUAUGUUAUUGAUAGACUAGCUUCUCAUUUACAUAGCAUUUAAGCAAUACUAAAUCAUUGAACCAGAUGAUAACAACAGAGAUUUGUAUAUUUUUAAAUAUGUACCAAAUGACAACAACAAAGAUUAGUUAUAUAUGUUGACAACAAUAGAGACCAGUAGCUCAGCUUAUAAUAACAGAGAUUUGUAAAAUCAGCAUUGAAUCAGAUGACAACAACAGAGAAUUAUAUAUCAUUGAACCAGCAUAUGAAAACAACAUUAAAUCUUGAAAUAAAGAGAGGCACAAUGUUACAACAAUAGAGAGAUUUGUAUAUCAAUGAACCAGAUGAAAACAACAGUAAAUCUAGAAAUAAAGAGAGGAACAUUGUAUCAAUUUUGAUAAUUACUGGUCUAACAGCAUAUGUAGACAAUUACUGUAUUAAUUUCGACAAUUACUAGUCUAAUAGCAUGUGCUAUCCUUUGUUACUCAUAAAUAUACUGUCAGGGUUGGUCUAACAGCAUAUGUAGGCAGCAUGAUUACCAAGCUAAAAACUUAUCUUCGUCUUUCUCUCUCAAACAUAUUAAGAUGACACUUUACUUCCAAGAAACACACCCCGCAUUAUAAUAUCAUUAGGAAAUAAGAGAAAAAAGUUAAAACCUUUAAAAAAAUAAAACAUAUAAGAAGAUUCCUUACAAAGGAUCUUAUGUUACACGAAAUAAGUAACUUUCCUAGUUAACCUAGACUGUGUAAUAGACCUAGAUAUAUGUAAUAUUUAAGUUAGGGCAGUUCCCCAUGAAGAACUAGAUAAAAUUUUCCAUGCACUUGUUUCCCCUUUGUUACUCUGCUACUACUCUGCACUUUAUAAACACAAGUAAUGUUUUCAGCUAAUUAAGCACCUAUACUCCUUACUCUUCUCUACGGCAUCUUCUCUAAAUCAAAACCAAUAUAAUUUUUUUCUUUAAGAUUAGAAUAUAAGGCCUGCUGAAUCAGACUCACUUGUGUAAUUAACACUAUCUAAUUUUGUUCUUUGUGUGAAGAUACUAAAGAGAUGCAGAGAAGCUAUCAGGGAUAAAGAUGAAAGAAGAAAAGGAAAGGUCCUUAUCAUUGACAUGGUAUUGGAUAAAGAUGAAGAAAAAUCAAACAUGACUGAAGUGAAGCUCAUAUUUGAUAUACUAAUGAUGGUUUAUGUUACACGAAGGCAGAGAACUGAGAAAGAAUGGGAAAAGCUAUUUCUUGAGUUUGGCUUCAUGAGAUACAUGAUUACACCUCUUUUUGGACUAAGGUCCCUUAUUCAAGUUUUUUCUUAAAAUAUUACUUGUGUAAGAACUAAAAUAAAUUGAUGAACUACAUGCAUUAUUAAGUAUACAAUCAGAUUGGUAGUGUUCUUGAAGUAGUGUGAACAAUGCUUUACAUGGACAUAUUCUAAGUGUUCUUCCGAAUCUGAUUUGUGAGUAUUAAUGCAACUAAUUUUCAUGGAGAUAAGGUGCAGGAAACAGUGGUAAGAAGAGGUGGUGAAGGUAUGGUGGAAUCAUGGAUUUGUUCUUUAGACGAGAAAAAAAAAGAUAAUUAUUAUUACUCAGUACAAAGUUAUUUGAAGUCAUGAUGAUGAUGAUUAUGUGAUCAUAACAACAAUGAGGAGGAAAAGAAAAAGAUAGAUUUAUUAGUUCUGUCUUACUAUCAUGUUUUCUUAAUCAUGAUUUUCAAAAAAAAGAAGCAAAUUUUAGUUUAUUUUUAUGAAAUGUUCUGUAGAUAACAAUCUGCGAAUUGGUUUCCUGAAAAAAAAAGCAUACAAUCAGAUAAAAAUAAGACAAAUGGUCAAAUUUAUGUGUACUAUCUAAAAUAUAUUGGUCUAAUUUUGGUCGACCAUUUGGAAAAGAUUUCAUUUUUGUCCUCGACCCCAAGAGAACUCUAAUUUGAUAGGAAACUUCUUGAGCUAAUAAAAACUGAUAAUAAUUUUGAAAAGCCAAUGAACUCUUCAAAGUAUGGGCUCAUAUUUACAAACAUAAAUCUAUUGAACAAUGCUUUUAAGAGGAACAACUGACCAUAUCUCAAAAAUAGCUAAAACAAAUAAAAGAUGUCCAAUGACAACUCAAAACAACAAAUAUAACAAAUUGUUGGUCAGUUAAUAAACUACUUCGUUGUGAAGAAAUACGGGUGCCUCUCAAGUCUCUGAAAUAUCGAAAAUGCCUUGCUGGGUGUCAUAUAAGGGUGUGUCGACUUAUCUUACGGGCAAGCGUUAGAUAUGUAACAAUUGGCCACUUUGACACUCAUGGUUGGGGAGAAGUGAACACAUUAUGUACCAAAAUUGAAUGCUGAAAGUGGGUGCAGGUAUUACAUGCACAUGUUAGGACAAUCAAGCCAUUGUAUUCACAAAGAACUAGUAAGUAUUUUCAACAUAAUUCAUGUAAUUGUACGAAAACUGAUCUAGGAUAGAAUACGAUGGUAUUAACACUAUUGUAUUUUAAAAUAGUCAAAUAUUUGUAUAAUUAAUAUACUAUGAUAUGGUUUCUCUAGGUUAAUAAUAUUAUGUGAAAAUCUAUCUUCCUCUCCCACAGAUUUUCAUAUAUUUUCUUUACAAAAAUGUAGUCUUUGUUGUAAGUUUUUUAAGCGUACACCCAGAUUGACUCCCUGUCAUCCUUGUAAUAUCACUAAACUAAGGGUGUAUUAUACUUUAUCAAAGUUCCAUCAUAUGAAACAUAAGUACAGGAUCUCUAAGGUACUUUCAAACACUUCUAAGGAUUCCAUCUGUAUGACUUGUUUUUUAGACAUCGAAUUAUUUGACACUCAUAUGACUUUAGCGCUAAGGAGGAGAUGAGGUACAUCUAAGAAUACACCAAACAAAGUUGAUCGCAAAUAUCUCAAGACAAAAGAGGAGCAACAAUACAUGUAAGCCAUACCUACAACUUCUUGGUUAUUGUUAUUAUACUUACAAUACUGGUGUUUACUAGUAGUCCUUUCAAUAUGGUAGAGACUCACAUGUCAAUGCUAUAACGGUGAGAUUCAUAGGAUUGAUAGUUUUAAUACCCGUAAUUUACCUUAACUUACAACUUAUUUACCAGUAAUUAAAGAAAUCUAGUCCCAAUUAAAUAGAAAAAAUACAGAGGAUUCAUUGCUAGGAAUCUCGGGUAACUUUCUGUAUUCCUUAAGGUUGCAGGUGAAGCCAAUCCAACUAGUAUUGAUGCCCAGCUCAACGAUUCGAUCUAAAGUGCAGUGCAGUAGCAACACCACAACAAUAAUGAAAAUGCAGAACAAUAACAUCGCUUAUAAAUGCAGUAGAAUGUACAGCACAAUGGCAACACCACAAGAUUGAAAUGAACUUAACUAGUAAACAUAGUAAAUGAACACUUACAUAAGUAGCUUCUUCUUUCUCAUUUACCAAACUUUUAUUACUUUUCUUGCAAUAAGUUAAAAAUAAAAUUCUGGAACAGAAGGAUCUUUUCCAGUAGCUUCUUUCUAUAUUCAAAAAAAGAUAUGUAUGUUAUCAACUUUGAAUAUGAUAUUAUUUUCAUCAAACAAAUAUAUUUAGGAAGAUUUAUAAUUACCAUUCUCUUAUAGAUCAAUCGAUGAGAUACACAACCACCUGUAUGAAGUGAUGCACCGACAUUUGAAUCGUGACUAUUUCUAUUUCAUUCAGACUUUUUUUUUGAAGUCAUCAGACUCUCAAUACACCUUCAUCUCCUUGAAUACAGCCACUCCCAUCUAAUGUGGUUUCAGAGGCAAUUUUUUUCUAACAUCUUGCAAAUGUUGGGUCAUUUUUUAAGAUGCCCUUUUAUUAAAAUUAGACCAUAUAACAUCAUUAUGGUGAGGAAGCCACUUAAAUUUCUUCUACAUAUAUCAAAUGAAUAUCAUAUUAGCUAUAUAGUCUCACAAUUAUAUUUAUACAUGAAUCAGAAUGUAUAAUUUUUUUACCUUGACUUCCUCAAACCACAUCUCACGAGUAGACUCUGGAAACUUUUUCCAUGAAGGUCUAGCCAAUUCAAACUUACUACGAAUUCAAUUAGCAAUACCAUCAAUAACUACCUUCUGUGGAUCAAACCUGCAUAACAUAUAGUAGUUAUCCAAUAUGUGCACAUAUAAAUAGUCCACCAAAAUAUAUGUAUUAUGUACAAUCCAUUUGAUUAUCAUCGUCUAUAUUGUCAAUUAUAUUAACUGAGGUGGCUGGAGUCCUAUUAGCCGGUGGUGACAUUAAUGGUUCAAAAUCUUGAUCUGUAAGUUGGGGUCGAUUAGAUUUUGGUGGAGAUACAAUAAUAGCAGGUUGGGCUUGGUUGAUCUUAAGAUCAGGUUGAGACUCAUUUACAUAAAGUAGACUAGUAUGGGAAUAUAGGGGUUGUGAUGGUAUUAUGGUAGGCACAACAUUGUUAUAAUUCUGGGAUUUAUUGACUUUAAGAUUUGGUAGAUAUGAGGAAGAGUUAUUGACAAAAAGUGAACCAGUAUGGGAUUGAUGGGAUCCUGGUGGAUUUAUGGGAGGCAAUUGGACUGUUUCUCGCUUUGUUGUCUAUUUUUUUUACUUGUCUUCCCUUCUUUUCCAUUAGGCAGUCCAGCUCUUUUAGAUCCUACACCUAGCAUCUGCAAAAAAAUAAUGAACAGAAAAAAUAAUACAUUAGUGAUGUAUUUGAUGAACAAAAGAUGAUUAAAGGUGAUCAGCAAAUAUUUUGAGUAUCAAUAUCUGACACCAGAGAGAAAUAACAACUAAUAAGUUAUUUUAACAUGCUAAAAAAGCCAUUUUAACCACAAAUUUCUACAAAUACAUGAAACCAAAUAGAAAUAACAACUAAUAAGUCACAGUAAAUAGAAAAAAACAGAAUUCAAACACCCAAUGCUUGUUACAUCAGAUAAUCUAUUUGACCUUAUAAACUAGUACGAUGAUGAAACUGUAUACAUAUCCAAAUAACUGAAAGUAGAAACUCAAUUCAAGCACUAAAAUGUCUCUUUUUCAAAUCUAGAAAUUGAUAAGUCCACAAGCACAUCUCCAAUCCCUGACUCUAUCAAGUGGAAACACAACAAUGAUGGAGUUUUCACUAUGGUUAGCACAUCUUGUUGCUCCAGCAAUAAAUUUUGAGAAAUCUUUCCUCUUGAAUCUGCUGGGGAGCAGGACCAUUUCUGUUAUUGUCUUAUUCCUUUAUUGUGAUUAAAGCCUCCAGAGAUGAUUACUGUGUUCUUGCUAAAAGUGUUAGAGGACAAGUUCUCUUUGCAGGUGAAGCAACUAUAAACAGUAUCCUGCAACAAUGCAUGGGGCUUUUCGCAUUGGGGAUGAGACACGAUGGAGGUUGCUCUCAUAAUGAGAGUUCUGAUAAGAGGUCCAUUGCUCGAGUAAAGAAAUCAAAUAAUUCUUCCUAAGAAAUCAUAAGUGUUAGUAAGUUAUUUUAGACUUCAUAAUUUCUCUGUGGUGUAUGCUGAUAUGCUCCCAGGUCAACUGACCUAGUGUCUAAUUGCAAGGGGAAAAAUCUCUACAUUUAUAAUGCCUGAUUCCCCAUAGACUGGUACUGAAGCUUCCAUUCAAAAAAAGUAAUGAAAGGUGUUUUGAGGACAGAUUUAGGUCUAUACAGAAAAUUAAGGAGAAUUGCAUUGCAAAAUUCCAUUUCUGAUGUAAAGAAGAGAUUAUAGAGGAUGUAGUUUAGUUGUUAGACUUCCUAGGGUCUUUGCAAUUGGUCUUUUGCUUUUUUUGUUCCUCUGUUGAUAUUUUUUAAGGUGGCCAGCAUAUCCCUUAAUGCUGAGGAAUACAAAUUACCAAGUUUCAAACAAAAAUCUACACAUCCACAACAUAUGUUUAGGUAAACAAAGAAUCUAUGUAACACAACUAGAAACUAAAAAUUUACACAUCCUAGUAUUAUUCAAAAUACAGUGAAACCCCCAAAUAUAAUUCUACUUUGGCCACGUCCAAACCUAGUGAGAGUCAGCUUUUGCCUUGAGUGUUUAUGUUCUUCCAUUCCACUAACAAAAUUAGUUCAUGAACAGUAUUUUGAAUUCAUGAAGAUCAAAAUCAGUCAUGAGACAAACUUGUUACUAUAAUUUGUUCAACUCUCAGAAGCCCAACUUACCACAAAAGUUUUCAUUAAGCCCAGAAUGUAGGCAACUAUAGGAAUAGGUGCACUUGACAAAAAACACAAAGCAUAUCAACACAUUCAUCAACACAAAGAAUAUCAACUCUUUCAACUAAGAACCAAACAGAGUUUUUUAAGAAACAAUUUGACAAACACCGAUCCAUCUACAUAUUAUGAAAUCAUAUGACGAAUUAAAUUAAAUAAGUGAAUUCUCUUCCAGUAGAUAAGUCAACUAACAAUAAUUUUGACAAAAAUCAUAGUGGCUUUAAUAAAAUAUAGUAUUGUACAUUGACAAAAGAAAUUGAUAAGUUAAUAUUCUUAAUCCUCAUCAUAUUCAACUUUAUCUUCUUCUUGAGUAUGAAAGUGACUUGAUGAAUCAUCACUAUAAAAAAAGUCUUCCUCUUCACUUGUUUCCUCAUCUUCAUCAUUAUUUUCUUCACUUGAUGUCUCCUCAUCACCCUCUUCUUUGUUUGAUAUAUUUUUAAAUCCUUCUUCAAUAAAAUCACAUUCAUUUUCAUUGACAACAGCUUGAAAACUACUUUAAUCAACCUCUUCACCAUCAGCUUGGUCAUCACGUAAGUAAUCAAUUGGGUCAUCCUCUAUACUUGCAAUAAUAUGUGAUUGCUCAUCUUAGUAAGCAACUUCUAAAUUGUAUCAUGUAUCUACAGCUCCUCUUGGCUUUGUCUUUAUAACUACCCAUCAAUCAGCCUUAUUUUCUUUUCUUUCGGGAUAAUUUGCAUAAUAAACUUAAGUUGCAGUUUGUGGAAAUAUAAAAGGUUCAAAUUUAGAAUAUCUUCCCCAUUUUCAAACCUCGAUAAUACCAAAUUUACUAUCAACUUUCAUGCCAUGUUUUAAGGGAUCAAACCAAUCAUAAUAAAAUAAAACUAACUUCAUAAAUGAUGUCAUUAGCCAUAAUAUUUACUUGUAAUGUCAUCUUGUCCAACGCCACUAAGACACACCCCACUGUUAUAUGUACUUUUUUCUUCACCCCAAGAAGAAAUAUGAAACUUUUAUUCAUUCACAAAAUAAAAAGGCCAAGACUUUGCCUUUCUUAAUGGUCCCAUUUAUAAGAUUUGCAUAUAUGAAUUCUGCAGCAUCUCUUAUGGAUUACUAUUCGCCUAUUAAAUAAUUGAAGCAAAUUAGCUCUGCAUUUUCGGUGAUAUAUCCUUUAUUAAAAUAAUCGAUUCAUACCUAAUAUUUGAACCAUCAUUGAAAGUCUUCUUCAAUUUGCUUAUCAAUGACAUCGUCAGUAAGAUCACUAUAAGUAUCUCUCAGGAUUUGCUCAUACAAACUGCAUGUACUUACAUUAGCGCAUUAGUUUCAAUCCAAAUAUAAUAGUUAACUGAAAAGCAUGGAUGAUACUUACUUGAGAAAAGGCUUAACCUCAUCACAAUUUAUAAGAACGUGAAACUGUGCCGCAACAACUUCUUUAUCAUCUAGCCAUCGAAUAUCACCAUACCAUAACUUCGGCCAGAAUAAUUAAAGACUGAUAAUGUUGGGUUAGUUGCAUUUUUUCAACGACAUCAUCAUUAUGGCCAACUCUUUUGUUACUACAUAAGACAUAAGAUUCAAAAUAAUGAGAAGAAAAGUAUGAGAUUUCUUGAGCCAAAUAUGCUUAACAAACCGAUCCUUCUACUCUGGCUUUAUUUUUUAUAGUCUUUUUAAUCUUGUUUAGGAACCUACAAUUAUUUUUAGAAAAUAAAUAAUUAUGUAAUAAAAUAAUAAGAAAAGUAAUAAAAUUUUAUACCUUUCAGAUGGAUACAUCUAUCGAUAUUGAACGGGCCCACGAACUCUUGCUUCGUAAGGCAAAUGAACUGCUAAGUGCUCCGUUAAAUAAGAAAACUAGGGGGAAAUAUUUUUUGCAACUUACACAAGAUUACAGGAAUAUUUUGUUCCAUUUGCAUAAGAUGAUCCACCCAUAAUACUGUUGAGCACAAAUAUCUAAAUAAUAGGCUGAGUUCAGUUAAUGACUUCCAUAUAAGUUUGGAAGAGCGAUAAAAGCAACUGGAAUAAGAUAUUGCAUGAAAAUAUGAGAAUCAUGACUUUGCAUCCCAAAUAACUUUAAAUGAUCCAUGUCAACACAUCUACCCAAAUUAGAAGCAUAUCCAUCAGGAAUCUUAGUUAAUCAACCCAUUCACAUACAUUUUUCUUUUGACCAUUAUUUAAGGUAAACUUUGCUUUCAGUUUUAUCCAUCUCCCAUCAUCAUUCAAUUGCAAGUAUAAAUCAUUUCGCCGACAUUACUCUUCUAAAUCCAUUUUUGCCUUCUUGUUAUCCUUUGUCCUCUCCUUGUUGUCCAUGACAGUAUGAAAAACAUUAUCAAAGAAGUUCUUCUCUGUAUGCAUUACAUCAAUAUUGUUGCAAACUGGAUGGGUCUUCCAAUAUGGAAAAUCCCAAAAAAUGCUUUUUUGGUCCAAUUAUGUGAUUUUCCAUAGCCAAAAAAAUUAUGUGGAUCAGAUUCAGUGAUCUUAGGAAACCCUCUCACUUUUUCCCACACCUGAUCUCCAGUUAACCUAGAAGGAGGCCUAGACUUUUCCUUUUUUUCUUUAUAAAAAGAAUUCUUUUUUUUUCUAAAUUCGUGAUUGAGAGGCAAUAAUUGAUAGUUACAAUCAAACCAAGUGACUUUUCUUCCAUUUUUCUAACUAAAAGUUUUUUACUGUCCCAUGCAAAUUGGACAUGCUAAUUUACCUAUUGUACUCCAUCCUGACAAUAUGCCAUAAGCAGGAAAAUCAUUAAUUAUCCACAUCGAUAUUGCUUGCAUGAGAAAAAUUUUCUUCUUUGACACGUCAUAAGUUAGUGCACCAUCUGUCCAUAAUUGUAACAACACAUCUAUUAAUGGUUAAAGAUACACAUCAAUUUUAUUCUUGAGAUUACGAAGACCUGGAAUGAUCAAUGUUAAGAACAUAUAUGGGUCAAUCAUACACAUAUCAGGAGAAAGAUUAUAAGGAGUAACAAUCACAGGCCAAUAAGAAUACGGUGAUGCUGACUGGCUAUAAGGAGUAAAACCAUCAGAAUAAAGACCGAGCCUAAUAUUCCUAGGCUCUGAAGCAAAGUCUGGGUAAGUUCGAUCAAAAUACUUCCAUGCUUCUCCAUCUGAAAGGUGACACAAAAAACCUUCUUCAUUGCGAUUCUCAGAGUGCCACCUCUUGUGCUCUGUAGAUCGAGUUGAAGCAUAAAGUCGUUGAAGCCUAUGAAUAAGUGGAAGGUAAUGCAUAGUCUUAUAUGGAACCUUUCUGCUACCCUUCUUUUCUACGCGUUAUUUAUAUCGAGGUUCUUUACAAAACUUACACUCUAUCAUCUCUUGAUUAGCCUUGUAAUAUAGCAUACAUCCAAUAACACAACAAUUAAUCUUUUGUCUAGUUAAACCAAGCCCCGUCACUAACUUCUUUGCUCGGUAGUAAUCAAGAGGUAUCUUAUUAUCCAGAUAGCUUGGAUCCUUCAUCAAUUGUGCCAUUGCAUUAAAAAAUCCAUGAGACAUAUUGUAUUCAGAUUGAAUACUAAUCAUUCUAACAUCUGUAGACAACUCUGAAUAUUUACAUCUGGGCCAUAAGGGUUCUUGAGCUGAAUUCAACAUUUCAUAAAAUUUUGUAGCACUCAUAUUUGAAGACUCUUUUACAGUAGGCUCAAUAUGAUGAUCAAGUUUUAUACCAACAGCAUCAUAAACCAUACCUUGAUACCUAUUUAUGUGUUCAGAGUCUUCCGCUAGAAUAUUACUUUGACUACUUGAAGACAUGUCAAAGUUACAUCCUUGAUGACUACUUGAAGUACUUGAAUGAACAUGUUCAUUCAAAUUAAUUAAAAGAGCUUCCUCUCCAUGUGACGUUCAAUACCAAUAUCCUGAAGUGAACCCUUUCUUGAAAAUAUGCACAUUAACUUCAUCGGGUGUAAAGUGUUGCAUGUUCUUACAAAUUUUACAAGGACACCUUAUGAAUUUCUCGAUAAGUACUUUGGUUGACUACAAGAAAAUUUAAUGAACUCUUCCAUGCCUUUUAUCACUUCAUCUGUAUAUGCCACUUUACCAGGAAGAAGUUUAUUUAUCAUCUAUUUUUUAUUCUCCGAAAUAGCCAUUUCUGAAUCAAAAGAUAAAACAACAACAACAACAACAACAAACCCAAUGUACUCCCACAGUGUGGGGUUUAGGGAGGGUAAGAUGUACGCAGUCCAUACUGCUACCUCCGAAGAAGUAGAGAGGUUGUUUCCGAAUCAAAAGAUACCACAAAUAAAAAUACAUAAUAAUAAAAUUUAAAGAGUUCCCGGUAUUCAUUUCCCCAAAAGAGUUGAUGAGCCAAUACAGUCAAUAAAGACAGCAAUAUGUCUUAAUUAAAAGAUAAACAUAAAAGGAAUCAAGAACAAACAACAAUAAUAAACAUUCACAAGCACACAAUAACAAAGUUGUUUUGAGUUUGAGUACAAAAAAAAGAGAUGUUAUAAAAUCAUACAAGAAAAGAAGGGAAAAUCAGGAAAGAGAUGUUAUAAAAUCAUACAAGAAAAGAAGAAAAAAUCAGGAAAAUCUACAGAAAGUACAACAAAUAUUUGUUCUUGUCAUUGAGUAAGAUGGUAUGUAUGUUGUUUUUGUACAAGUUCAUAAUUGUCCUAAAGAUAAUUAUGUGAUUAACAAGAAGGCUAUGCUUGCUGAUAAUAAUAAUCAUUAUAGUGUAUCCAUUUAGAGGAUGAAUUUGAUAAAGAUAACCAACUGGUGUAUGAUCAUGAUAAGGAUGAAGAAACUAGAGAUACACGAAAGAUUAAGUAAUACACAAAAUGGAUAACCAUCAGAAUAAGUAAUUCAUGAAAGAACUCAGAUUUUAUUACAUAGGCAGAAAUUAGAUUAGAUGGAACCAAGAAAGAAUUGACAAGGAAUAAGCUUAAUUAAAUUUGUUUACUACUUCUAAUACUUACCGAACAUGCUAAAGUAAUUAUUUACGAUUAGGUAAAGAGUGGGGGCUCUUUUUCUUUUUGCCAACUGUAAAACAUAAAAAAAACACCUGAACUGUUUGAACAAAAAAAAAUGUUGGUCAAAAGUAAAAAAUUAAAAAAUCAACUCUUGUACUAUUGAUUUAUGAUACUGACAUCAUUUGUGAUGAUUCAUGACAAAUAACAAUGAUGGUUCAUUUACUCAUAUAGAGUAUAAUAUUUUUAAAACUAGACUUGUUUAACAAUACUAUAGUCCACACCAUUUUACAGACCAAUACUCUUGUUUUUGUUUUUACAUAGAAUUAGAGAAAACAAUUGCUCUGUUUCUUCUCUUCUUUUAUUUAAUUAGUAUGAAAAUCGUCUUUACAAGAAUACUAACUUUCAUCCCAUAUGCAUGUAUCACUAAUGAAUCAUUAAUCUGAUUCUUUUUUCGUCUCUAAAGUUUUCAAUCCAUAGAUUGUGGAUUUCCAGGUUUCAACUUAUUCUGUGAUGCUUCAAAUAAGACAAUUCUUUGAUUACCAAGUCUGCUAAGAGAAGUCAUAGUCACAGUACAAGCCAUAAAAUAUUCCACAUAGGAACUAUGGCUUAACGACCCUAACGAUUGCCUUCCACAGCUUAUUCUUAAACUAAACCUCUCUUCUUCCCUAAUUUUAGUUAUUUAUAUCAGGAUUUCACAUUAUUCAAUUGCUCCGUUGAUUGUACGGUGAUCAAGAUAAAUCCAAUAACUUAUUUGAGUGGUUUGGGUUAUACUAUUUAUGCUACAUUAUCUAUGAAGAGAUUUAGGUUGUUGUCGAGACCAAAGUGUAAGUUGAUAAGAACUAUAGGUGUUCCAGUACAGUGGCCUUUUUUGACAAGUGGUGUCUUCAGAUCUUAGUGCUGAUAUUCAAGUUACUUAAGCUAAUCCAGAUUGUAGAAGUUGUGUGUCAAGAGGUGGAUGAUGUACUUUAAAGAGAAAGACUAUGUUUACUAGAGAAUUUUUUUUGUGAAAAUGCUUGUGUAGUCGGUAUGAUCCCUAUUAAUCAAGUUUCUUUCAGUAUCUUUGAAGUUUCAGUCUUAUUUUCUCUAAUUUCCUCUUUCCUAACCAAAAGAUAAGCGAUAACUCCUUCUUCCUCUGAAGUUACUAGUUAUUGUUGUGUGCAUAUUUAGAGUUUCUCCUAGCUAAAAUAUAUCGGUUGCAAAAUUGGGAUUCUUUUUAGUCAAAGUAGUUGAUUUAAGUAAUCAUAAUAUUAUAAAUCCUCCUAACAUUGGAUUUGCUAAGAUGCUCUCCCCUAGGCACGUGCUCUAUCUGCACUCGAAUUUAGUUCAAAUGGAAAGGGGUAGCAAGAAUAGAACCAGUGUUAGAGCCAAAUGGAUAUAGAAAAUUCAUAUAACCAAAACUAGUUUUGAUUAAGGCUUAGUUGGUUGAUUGAUUAAGUGAUUGAUAGAGAAUUUAAAGAUCUAAUAAGAGGUCAAAAAGAGAAAUAGUUUACCUUAGAAAUGCUUUCCCAACCUUUCAAACGAGGCAAAAUACUUUGAUGUCUUUAGAUCUCAAAUUUCACCACAAAAAAGAAUGAGGACACCUGAAUAAAGGCCAACUCAAAUAGAAGUACACUAGUUUUGACAUAGAAUCAGUUUAGGAUUAAUGCCAUCACACCCAAGUCCCAACAAAUGACCCAACUAAGUACAGUAAAAAAGAGAACAGAGACCUCUAUAAAGUGUUGUCUUCUAAUGUACUCUCAUUUGUUUCCCUUCAGCCUAAGACACGUCUCAUGUGCAUGAUAUAUACAUAAGAGAGGGUGUAUGUGACACCUAUCCUAGGAGAAGAGUCUCAUAUUCACGAAACACAAUAGAGACGUUAGAUAUAUGAGUAAACAUCUUACACCCUAGUGACAUAUAUUAAAGUCGUACUUAUCCAGACAUUAAGUGGACAAUAUCUAUACUAACGUGUUUUAGAGAGCUGGGAGUUCAGGCCACUCCACAAGCAAGUUGGUUAUGCUAUUAUCUACAAUAUAGUUUCCUGUCAUAUAAGAGAUAUACUAUAAGAGUGUUCCCAGUGAUUUUGUUAAUUUGGAAAUCAUGCUUAGAUGGAAAAAGUCAUUGAGUUAGCAGUUAGUUGUGACACAGAUGAACAAAUAAAAAAUUUCUCCAACGGUAUGUUUCCAUGACUUGAACGAGUGAUCUUUUGAUCACAUGGCAACAACUUUCUAUUACUCCAAGGUUCGCCUUCCCAUAAAAAUAUAACUAUCCUUUUUAAUAGUUUUAUGGGAAACUGGCAGCCCAUUUAGCAACAAACUUGGUCCACAAAUAUAACUAGUCCAAAAUUACUCAUAUUUAAUCUAAAAAGCUCAAAAUAAAUUCAAGUAGCCACAAAAAAUAUCUACACAUUUGAAAAAAUCUACAGAGAGACCAUAAAGUAAUGAAAGAUAUCAACCUUUGACAUUAAUUGAUUUCCUUAAGUAAAACUUUGACAGAUAUUUUCUCCAUAUUAUCACCAAAUAUGAAGUACUACAAUAGUUGGUUUCCUUAGUACCAUCUCUGGUCAAACGUGAAUACUUAUCUACACCAAGCGUUCACAUCAAAAUAAUAUAAUUUAACUUCUAAAGAUGUGGCUUAUGGUAGGUAAAUCUCAUAUAUGUAUAUAGGCUAGUUUUAUAUAAUCUAUUUUUUACAUAUUAUGUUCUGGAAAUUUAAACAUUUUCUCCAUAUUAUGACCAAAUAUGAGGUACAACAUUAGCAAUUAGUUUUCUUAAUUUCGAGUACAGAGUCUGGUUUCCUUAAUUUCAAGUCAACGGAGUCGUGUUUCCUUAACAACAUUAACAAUUGUUACUCAACAGAAUCAGCAGAGGUACAACAGAGACUUAUUACAUACGUAAGCCCAUCUAUUAUCUCUAACUAAUUCUGCUCGUACCAUCAGGCUACUAAUUCAUACUCAACAAGAUAGGUUAAAAUGACCUAAACCACGAGUGAGGAGGAAUAAUAUAAUUAUACGAGUCAUGGAGUAACAAAGAAACAACAAUAUCGGAUCGAGACAGAGGAACUGUUGUCGUAAAUUAAGAAUUGAGAAUGAGGAAGACGAUUGAGAGGAGAUUUUCUUGAGAAUUGGUGAGAUUGCUUUUUUUGUUCCUUAGAGAAUUGAGAGAAGAUGGACAAACACCGACUGAGCUGUCAUGUGAGAAAAAAAUGAGGGAAUACAUUUUUGUUAGAAAAUUAUAUAUCAAUUACUAUAUUUUUGUACAUUUUUUUAAAGUUUUUUCUUAUGCUACCGAUUAUUUUCAUUUUCAAUAUAUAUACAAGUGAACUUUUAAAUAUAAAAAUUUUAAUUGGACUUAUGGUAUUAUGUAGUUAAAAAUAUUUUUAAUAAAAAAUAAAUACUCAAUAAAACGAAUUGGAAGUAUGUAGACAAAUAUAAGGGAUUUGUUUUGUUAGGAAUAAGUUUUUCUAGAAUUAAAUAUCCUUGUUAUCUCAUCCAGGAUUGUGCAUAUUUUGGUUCAAACUGAAAAAUCCAAAUAAUCAAAUUGAAAUUUAAUUUUUAUUUUGAUUUUUUAAUUAUUUAAUUUUUCAGAUCGACUUUGGUUUAAAAUUUUACAAAUUCAGUUAAAUGGUUAGGAUUUGAUUUUCUUAAAAGAAAAUGGUUAAACUGAAAAACCAAAAUUAUAUAAAUAAUAUAUAUAUAUAUAUAUAUAUAUAUAUAUUCAGUAUAAUAAUGUUUUUUCAUUAUUUCAUUUCAUCCAUGUUGAGUUAUUUAUAUUUGAAAAUAAAAAACAUGUUUAAAAAAAAUUAUUUUUUUCUAAAAAAAAAAAUCACCAAUUUUAAACGUUCGGUCAUGACAAAGAAAGACUCUUCAAAAUUGAAAUAAAAAUCCAAAAUAACUUAACCCCAAAUUGAAUUUAUUUUUGUUUGUUCAUUACGGUUGCCAUUUUCGUCAAUCCAAAAAUUGAAAAACCAAACCGAUAUUAAACAAGCAAAUCAAACAAACAGAAGCCCACCCCUAAUCACCUAGCAUGCAAAGAUUUACCUCCGUGGAAAGGAUGAUUCAUUCGGAUCGACGUGAGAGUCCAACUACAUUGCCAGAAUCCAUGUUGUAUGUUUGAAAGAGGUUGACCUCCUUGCUUCUCUCAUGGUACGCUCCUCUUCCCGCCGAGUCCCUUUUCUCCUCAGUCCACAGAGAAAAAAUAUUGGACUAAUGCCAACUGUUCAUCACGAAAAAAAGGACUCACUAAGUCAGGAUCACUAACUAAUACUAAUAUCUCAUCAUAUAUAUAAUUCUUAAACUACCUAAUACUUUCAGCUCAUUAUAAAAUUAAUAAAAUAAUUUUUUAUUUUAUUUCAUGAUUAUUAUACCUUAUAUCUCACACCAAACGACUCCAAAGUGUUGUACAUUAUAUUGAUAUACUAUAUUGUCGUGCGUAGAAUGAUGCCUUGCAAUUAUAUUGAAAUUAACCAAAUAUAAAUGAAUAGAAAAACAUGCUCUAUUUGAGCCCUAAGUCAUUCUUUGCUCUAUCUUAGGCCAACGAAAUUUCAUCACUUUAAUUUUUUGGUGAUAACAUAACGAGUCAAGCUAAUGUUUAUUCAACUCGAAUACAUAUGUGAUACCAUCUAUGUCUAUAAACUAAUUUUAAUUUUUGGAGCAUCUUUUGUUUGAUUAUAUGUGUCCACCGAUUUAAUGUCAAAUUUUUUCUUAUUUUUUUUUAUUCUUCAAUUUUAUCAUUUGCCUAUUUAAAAUUUUCAAGUCACAAAAAUCCAACGUAAAUUCCCAAAAAAUAAUUUCAGUUAAAUUUGUAACAACACAAUCCCCCAAUAAUUUGUCAAGUAAUAAUUUCGUAGGUAAAUCCCCAAGAUAUAAUUUCAGCUAAAUUUGUACCAACACAAUCCCCCAAUAAUAUCGCAAGUAAUAAUUUUGCAGGUACAUCCCCAAGAAUAAAUCCCUAGCAAAAUUUACAGCACAAAAUUGUAAUAAUAUCUAUUACAUAAAUUUUCACCAAAAUAUCUCUACAGAAAUUCGUAGGAUUAAUUACCUGAGAUUUUUAUAUGAAUUUAAAAAGUAUAUAUAUAUGUUCAUAUGCCUACUGAUUUACCUUGAGAUAAAAUACCUAUCGAUACGUUUCCCGAGGUAAUGUCGCACGUAAUAAUUUCACAGGUAAAUCCCCAAGAAUAAAUCCCCAGCAAAAUUUGCAGCACAAAAUUCUCAAACAAUUUCUCGGGUAAUAAAAUCCAUUACAUAGAUUUCCACCAAAAUAUAUUUACGUAAAUCCGAAGGAUAAAUUACCUGAAGAUUUUUCUAUGAAUUUAAAACAUUUAUAUAUUUGUCCAUAUACCUCUGGAUUUACCUAGAGAUAAAAUAAUCGCCGAUACAUUUCCCUAGGUAAUGUCGCAAGUAAUAAUUUCGCAGGUAAAUCCCCAAGAAUAAAUUUCCAGCAAAAUUAGUAGCACAAAAUCCCCAAAUAAUUUUUCAGGUAAUAAAAUCCAUUACAUAAAUUUCCACAAAAAUAUGUCUACGUAAAUCCAUAGGAUAAAUUACCUGAGAAUUUUUCUAUGGAUUUUAAAAAUAUAUAUAUUUGUCCAUAUACCAACGGAUUUACCUAGAAAUAAAAUAUCUGCCGAUACAUUUUCCAGGUAAUGUCGCAAGUACGAAAUUUGUGCAAUAUGGUGUCAAAUUUACCUGCGAAAUUUGUUGCAAAUAUAUAGUUCGCAAGUAAUAUAUUUUAGUAUGAUGAUAAUAUUUUUGUAGGUAAAUCCGUAUGUAUUUCAUGCAAUAUUAUCCCCUAGGUAAAACCCUAUGUAAUUUACAUUUUUUUAGUAGUGUGUACUGCUUGGAGUUCCCUCUGUUUUUAUUGAUGUAGAGCCCCUCCUCCUCACCUUUUUGUGAAAAUCCAGUCAUUUGCUUUGCCAUGGCUUCUUGGCCAGCAAGCAAAUUCUCAAACUCCACAAGUGAUGGUUGAUUUUACCAUCCUUGUACUGUAGUAACAAAGUUCUUGUAUUCAGAUCCCAAACCAUGAAUGAUUAUUCUUUUUAUCCUGAUUUCCCUUAUUUGAGUUGUUGGUUCCAAUUCUGAAAUUUCACGACAUAUCGACUUCAUUUGUUAAAGUAUUGCGCAAUGAUCAUAUCAUUUUGAGCUAUCAACAACAAUUCACUUUCUAAAAGUUGUAGUCAUGUGUCAUUCUUCUUUGAAAAUAGGGCAGCCAGCGUGUCCCAAGCCUUCUUUGGUGUUUCAGCAUCUCGUAUAUGUUCCAACAUGUCAUCUUCGAUGGUGGUUUUGAGGGAAAAUAAUGUUUUUCCUGCUUUAAUCUUCCAUUUCCUUAAUGUGCCAUUCGGUUCUUCUACCCUCGGUUUGAAUUUGCUUUCAUUAACGGCCUCCCAAAGAUCUUGAUCUUCUGUGUAAGAUGUCAUACAUGUCAUCUAUGUUUUGUAAUUCUGAUGGUUGAGUUUUUUCACUUUCCCUAUGGCUUGAAAAUCAGUCAUUUUAAUUUCUUUAAAACAACUGUGUAUGUUCAAGAAGAUGGUUGUUGCCACCAGCAACUUAUAAAUAUUCUGCAUGGCUUCUCUUUCUCUCCUUUAAAUCUGGCUCUGAUGCCAAAUGAUGAGCUCAACCCAUAGCUAGCUUCGUAAUGGAGUAGAACAAAAUAAAAGGAAAGAGAGCAGAGAAUGGAAAGCCUUGAAAACGUUUGCAGAGGAUAUGACUGAAUGAAUUUUAUUCAAUAUGCUUAGUGUCCUUAUAUACGCUUACAUUUUAAAGAGUCACUAUCCCACUAAACCACUACUGUAAUUCCACUAAACAAGUUUUCCUAAACUUAAGGAAAUAGGGAAAAACCAUCACAAACUGAAAAAUAACAAAUGCUAACUGAAUGCUAAAAUUUACCUACUAAUGACUUAGUCAAACUAGAAAGCAACAGCUGAUGUUGUACACUUUAACAAAACAUUCCCAUGCAAAAUCUUCCUUCCAAUUCUCUUUCAGAGAUGUCUCUCUCAUUACCUUCUAAUAACCUUUCUCUCUUAAAUUCUAAUAAAUACGAGUAAUUAUCACAAGAGGAGUUACACUCAACCUCCCUUUAUUUAUCUAUUACUUCAACAUAAUGAACAGAAUAAAUAUUCCACUCCGUUAAAAAGCUAUUCUCUCUCCAAUAUCUCGACCACUGAGGCCCUACUACCCAUCAAUGAAUCAUCUUCCUCACAUUCCACCUCAUAUGGCCCAUCAUCUGUUAAUUUAUGCCACUCAGUCAGUCCAUUCGAACAACCCUCCAAUUUCUUGGACAGAGAGGGCGUUGGAUGGACAUGUCGUCCUCUUCUCCAUGAACAUCAAUAGGGUCAAUACCCUGGUUGUACUUCGGAACCGCAACUUUCUCGCUCAAUUAAUCUCAGAGGGAAUGAAUAUAGCCAUCGAACACUUUGUAAAUCAUUUGUGACUUGUCAAUGUCUUGGAACCUUUGGCUUCGGCUGCAAUUCCUGCAUUAAUACACACAAUGUAAAUGUUUUGAAAUCUCCCAAACCUCCUCAAUAAAUACCCGAAGCAGCAACCAAUGCAAAUUCCAUUCUUCACGCCAUAGGAAAUAAUCAGAAAUAAUCCACUAUUCUUUUCUUGGCAACCUCUUCAAGUUUAGGAGGAGCUACAUAUGAAUCCAAAUUAUGUUCCUCCUGAGCAAGGAGGUGCAGGGGUACAUCUAGUGCAAAGGAACUCGUUCAUUGAGAUAUCAAGCUUCAAAAAUGCAACUCAUAUGAUAUUUCCGGAGAACGAGGACAAAACAUAUGUCCAUCUCUGUCCAGUGGCUCUGACGAAGAGCUCUUUUGACUUGAGGCCAUCGAUCAAUAGUGCCUUGGCAAAAUAUGUUGUAGUAAUGACACCAGCUCUAAGGAACAACCAUAUUCCUCUAGUGGAACAAUCAACUCCUAACCCCACAUAUUAUACUCCAAUGAGUGAACCAACUAGUUUUAUUGUUUAGAAUACUAGGGGUGUUAAUAAUGAUAAUUUUAAGCGUAAUUUUAGGGACCUCAUUCACACUCAUAAUCCUUAUCGUGUUGCACUUCUAGAAACUAAGUUGGGUGAUCAUAUUGGACUCAUGCAUUGAUUUAAUUUUUAUGAUUACUGGAAGUGCCAGAUUAGGGUAGAUCUGGUGGGAUUUUUCUCCUCCAGCACACUAGAUUUGUUACCGUAACUCGUAAGCAUCAAACCUCUCAGGAAAUGCAUGCUACUAUUCAGGUACUUCCCUCUAAUAUAUGCCAGUGUCGACACUAAAUUUUGCCUCUCCAUUCUUGAAAUUAAUGUCUUCAGGCUUCUUAAUAGUUAAAGGGCACGAAAUAUAAUUUUUACACAUUUUUUACAAUUGUUAACAAAUUAUUGAUAAACAUCAUUAUUUUAGAAUCUUUUACCAAUUUAUUGUCAUAUUAAAUUUCUUUGCAUUGUCAUCUCUAUAUACAACAUAGCACUACAAUUAUUUACCGCACACUAUAAUUAUAAUUAUUUAUAGCAUAAUGCAUUUUUUAAAAUAAUUAUAUUUUAUUUGUUGUUCACAUUUUCUGUAAUUAAAUAUCGAGACUCACAUUUUUGCACAUUAUUUAAUACAAUUCUCAUAUGAUAAUGUCAGCUCAAUCAUUUUAAUACACAGAAAUAAAUCAAUCAAAUCAAGAUCUCAUCACCUUUAAAAAAGAGAUAUUUGAGGUGAUGGAUCAGAUUUUUGUCCUUUGAAUAAUAAUCUUUAUUUAUUGGUUAAAGGAUGAAAUGAUCAUUCGAUUAAUAAGCGUACGGACUAAAGAAAGCUUUAAGUAGACAAAAGGAGUCAAUCUUUUAUUUUUGGGUUAAUAAAGAAUGUUAUUUUUAUUAUAAAAAAUAAGAGGGGUUAAUUGCAAUAGACAACUAUACACACGCACAUCUACUACAUUAAUUGUAGUUCAGAUUUAUGUUGUUUCAUCUUCUACCUCACUUUCUAAGCUUUCUCUUUCACUUUUCAUAGGAAAACUCACCGGAGAGCUCUGAUGCUCCACCACCUCAUCGCCAUAUCUCCACCUCCAUUUACAUAUAGGAAAACCCAAACAACCACCACCAAACUGAUGUCCUCUUUACUUUUAUGUCAUGCUUCACCGGGUUUGAAUGGGAAACAUGGUGAUGCCAAAACAAACAGCAACAACAGUUCCAAACAACAACAAACUAGUGAGAUUCGAUGAGUUCCACUGCCAACGAACUCACCAGAGCUUCAUGCUCCAACCGAACACCACCUCCAUUGCUCUUUUCCUAUUUUCUCUUUUCGUUGCUUCUUCGUCGGAGGUGAUGACCUGCGAAGCCUCCGACGUGUUGUCACUACCACUACUGUAUCAUCUUGAUUUACCCUUUUUUGUAUUUUGAAUUAUUUUUUACACAUCUGUCUGGAUGUUGUAUUUCCUGUGUUGGUAUUCACUAUGGAAGUAACACCUCCCCUCCUUGAUUUAUCAUAGGUUUGGUCGGAGUUUUCAUUUUCUGGUGAAAUCUCAUAUUUUUGCUAAAAUACCAUUGUCUCUGGCGGCCUCCCCGGCUGUUAUUUUAUAUACAUUGUAUCUACUAGUCUCCAGUGUCGGUUAUUGUUGUUUUGACAAGCACUAUGCCAUUCUCGACAUCUUCAUAUUGCUCCAUCAUUUGGUUAUCACUAAUAUUGCUUGUUUCGUUCAUUGUUGGAUUAUUAGUCCGUUUAAAAAAGAAUGUGUUAUAAAACAAGAAAGAAUAAAGAAGAAGAGUAGAGAGAAUGGAGAGAGUAAUUGUUAUUUCUUCUCUCGAGGGAU